AGACAUAAUGGGGUGGUGGUGGUGGAGGAGACUUGUAUUUGUAAACUGGAGGAGGAGGUGGUGGAGACUUGUACUUGUAAGGGUGCUUGGGGGGUGAUGGUGGGGGUGGUGGGGGUGACUUGUACUUGUAGGGGUGCUUGGGUGGUGACGGUGGGGGUGGGGACUUGUACUUGUAAGGAUGCUUGGGGGGUGAUGGUGGUGGUGGUGGAGGUGACUUGUACUUGUAGGGGUGCUUGGGUGGUGACGGUGGGGGUGGGGACUUGUACUUGUAAGGGUGCUUGGGUGGUGACGGUGGUGGUGGUGGGGGGGACUUGUACUUGUAGGGAUGCUUUGGUGGGGAUGGUGGUGGUGGUGGUGGGGACUUGUACUUGUAGGGAUGCUUAGGUGGUGAUGGUGGUGGUGGUGGAGACUUGUAUUUGUAAGGAUGCUUUGGUGGUGAUGGUGGUGGAGGUGGUGGGGACUUGUACUUGUAAGGGUGCUUGGGUGGUGAUGGAGGUGGAGGUGGUGGAGACUUAUACUUGUAAACUGGAGGUGGUGGGGGUGGAGACUUGUACUUGUAAGGGUGCUUGGGUGGUGACGGAGGUGGAGGUGGUGGAGACUUAUACUUGUAAACUGGAGGUGGUGGGGGUGGAGACUUGUACUUGUAAGGGUGCUUGGGUGGUGAUGGUGGGGGUGGGGGUGGCGACUUGUACUUGUAGGGGUGUUUAGGUGGUGAUGGUGGUGGUGGUGGUGGUGGUGGGGACUUGUACUUGUAAGGAUGCUUGGGUGGUGAUGGUGGUGGAGGAGACUUGUACUUGUAAGGAUGCUUGGGUGGUGAUGGUGGUGGAGGUGGUGGAGACUUAUACUUGUAAACAGGAGUUGGUGGGGGAGGAGAUUUGUACUUGUAAGGUUUCUUGUGUGGUGGUGGUGGUGGAGGAGAGUAGAUCGGAGGAGGCGGUGGGGGAGACUUGUAAUGGUAGGGUGGUAGUGGGUUCUUCUUAGGAGGUGGUGGAGGAGAAGAAUAGGUGUAAUCUGCUGAGGUUUCAAAAGGCAAACUGAGAGAAACUGCUAGAACUAAAAGAGUGACAAAGAGAGAGGUCAUUGAUGACCCCAUUUUCCCCAUCUUUACUUCUAAAAAUGGGUUUAAUUUGGUUUAUGUUCGUAGACACCCUCUUCUCUCCCUUUAUAUAGACUCUGUUUUAACCUUAUAAUCUUCAUUUAAAUAUUGGGAAAAAGAAAAGGGCACAUUUUCAUUUCUUGAAAGUAAUCAGAAAUAACUGGAGAACCAUUAAAUUUGGCUUAUAAUAUUGAGGUUGCUAGCUAAGCAGUGAAUACAGUAAUCGUGAUGUGAUGUGUAUAAAAUACUUUUAUGUAUUUGGCUCGUAGUUGACUUUAUACAUAUAACUUUUUACAUGUACGUAUGAAAUUAGACAUGAUAAUAUUAAUAUUAAAUGUGAUACGAUUUAAAAUAAUUAAAUUUAACAUAACAUGAAUACCUCAAUUCUUGUGUAAUUAUUAUGGUCAAUUAUACCCUCCGUUCCUCGGAUUAAACCAAAUUUAAGAUUUUGACACCAAUAAAAAAAUAAAAUUUAAGAUCUAAUUCUUCAAUUUAAUAAGUUCAAAGAAAUAGUCUUGACAUUAAUGUUACUGAAGUUAAAAUUUUUAAAAUUUCAUAUCCAUAUAUAAAAAAAAUUAAAAAUUUUAAUUCCCACUUUUUUUUUGUCAAAAUUACCAUCAACCCAUGCAUGUAAACAAAUUUUGACAAAACAAUACCAACUAUAAUUAUAUACUGGGCGUAACACCCUAGACCCGGUCUAGAUGUCCAGUCCAAGUUAGAGAGUUACACCAUCGAAACUCAAAUACCUCACAAGUAACACAAUAAUACUAAACCAUGCUUCACAUAGUAUUCAUCACAAAGAUUAGUUAAGUGUAUAAUCUUCCAAAGUCAAGCUAUCAUAGUUUACCGAAACUCCUAACGUAAUACUUAAAAGAAAGAUAAAAGCUUGAUCGAGCUCUCGCGACACCGACCCGAUCAAGACUGGGAACCACCUGAAAUCCAACCAAUAGCAAAAUGAGUUGUGAACUCAGUGCGUAAAAGAAGUUUGUUCAACUAAUGCUCACUUAUAAAAUAGUUCUGAAUUCAAAGAUUCGGUUUGAUACAGAAGUAAUUUCAGUUCAAAUUCAGAGCAGAUUAGUUACAUAUAUAUAUAAGCAAUUUCAAUUUCAUAUACGAUACAGAUCAGAUUCAGAUGCAAUGCUCCUACCCCCAUCCACUACACACCGUCUUCAGCUAUCCUAACAUGCUGUUAAGGACAUUUAAUGCCCAACCAAUUCUGCACACCUUAGAGUGUGCGUUUGACACUUUUACAGAGACACAGCUUAGCUGCUAGAUCAAAAUGCGACGAAGCGCCAGAAUCAGAUUUAUACGCAUUAUGGUUUAGCCACUAAUUCAUAACAGAUUACUUCCUUCUUCACAAUACCUCAACCCAUGCAAAUGUAGAGCACAAUACUCGUAUUAUGUAUUUAGUCAUUCUAAUUUAUUUCACAAAUAGAUAAGACAAUUCAACAUCAGAAUAAGUAUCAUAGUAUAUACAUACAACUAUGUUAUCCCCACAUCAGUCUCAGAGUAUCAGACCAUUCUCAUAUAAUCAAAUUCAUUCAUUCAUACAUUGAGGAGGCCAGUAUCAGUGUUAAGCAACAUUCACGGCCUCAAAAACAGGUUUUGGGCUCCAAUAACAUGCCACACGGUCUGGUCACACGCCCAUAUCCUUUGCUCGUGUGGUUCUGAAGCAUAAAUAGUGAGUUACACGGGUCGGACACACGCCCGUAUCCCUACCCGUGUGACUUACACGGCCUGGGCAGACGCCCGUGUCCCUAGCCGUGUGGUAUUGUACCAUAAACACUGAGGUACACGGUCCAGACACACGCCCGUGUCUGUUGCCUGUGUGAACCCUGCACUAAUAUGGCCACACACGGCCUAGACACACGCCCAUGUGCCUUGCCCAGGUGGCCCCAAAUCGAUAAACAGUGAGUUACAUGGCCUUCCACACGGCCUGGACACACGCCUGUGUGCCUGGCCGUGUGGUGUUGACAACCACCAUUUUCGACGAUCGAAACUUGCAAAAAUUAAGGUUUUAGGUACACACCUAGUUUCGCUUUGACAGAAAAACAAUGCGGGGACUACACGAAACCUAAUUAACCACCCAAUAAUCAAUUACACCAUCGUUUUCAAUAUUUUACUAAAAUCAACCUACCGUCAAGAUCAUGUCGAAAGUUUUGACGCAACCCCAACUCAAUUCGCAUACUUACCUCGCACGAAACAGAAGGAAAUCAGGCUAAAACAGCAGAGUAACGUCUCUUGUAAUAUCCUCACCUAAAAAAAGUAACCAAUUGAGUGUUUAAACAGAAUGUUCGAGCAAACGAGCAAAAUCCCGUUUCGACAGAAUAAUGUUAACAAGAUGGAACUCGCAAAAUGAAAGGAGAUAACGACGGAACUUACACAAUAAUCACACAAUCGACCUCACAGGCAUCGAAGAAGUCCCAUUUAACGCAGAAUCAAACAUAGUAAAAAGCAAAAUUAAAAGAAAAGAAGAAAAGGAAAGGAAAGGAAAAGAGAACCAAGAACUUUUGAAAAUGAAAAGAAUACAGACAGAUGCUUAAUCAGUAGCAGGCUCAUUCUUGACAUCAAUUUACCCAGAAGUGCACUUAAAUACAUAACACGUGGAUAAAGGUUGUUUUAAAAUAAAUAAAACUUUUAACGAUGCAACUCGGACUCUAGACCUUAAACACAAUAACGGAACAUAAAGUCACAAAUACAAAAAUUUAAUUACUACAAAUUUUAGCAAUUAAAUUCUUAAAAUUUUGAGGCGUUACACUAGGAACCUAUCAAAUUUUAAAUAAUAUAUUUUAAAUGCAAUUAUAAUAAAUAUUAAAAGUGAAAUUUGACGUUACACCUAAUAAACAUGAUAAAAUACACCAACACAACUUAUAUACAUAAAUUGUCAAAAUCAAAUUUAGAAAACAUAUUCAUAAUUAUCAAAUCUUAAAUCUCUCAAGGAUAACAUAUAAUACUGAUAAAUCCAUUAAAACACACUAAUAUCAGUACAUAUUAACAUCAUAACAAAAUUAACACAUUCAUUAAUCUGAUAAUGUACUUCUCAAUUCAUUACAAAAAUCACCUCAAUAACACGAAUUUUCAUACUCCAAAUAGAGGUAAAAGUAUGAUGGAGAUUUUUAUAGGAGUUAAAUUGCAUUUUAUCCAUUCUACUAAAAAAUGCGCAAAUUAAUCACUGUACGUUAGAUCAAAGAGUAACUGAUUUUUUGGUUAAAAAUUUCAUCCAUUUUUACUGUUAAAAACUUGUCUAUGUACGUCAGCAUGACGUAUACGUGGCACACCAUGUGUCACUAUCUGAUUAUUUUGUCAGGUAAACUAGUUUUUAAUAGUACAAAUAGAUAAAAAUUUUAACAAAAAUAACUAAAUUACUCUUUGACCACUAUAUAAGAACUAGUAUGUAAUAUGAAAAAACCAUUUUACUGCAAAUAGAUAAUUUUAUUGUUAUUAAUAGCUGUCCAUGAAUUUGAGAACAUUUUAUAUGGGUACCAAACUUUUCCAUGAAAUUGCUUGGCUACGGGACCAGGCGGCUUAGACUUUCUUUGCCAGGCUAUAUUCUCCACUCUCUCUUCUUUGUCGUUUACAUUUAAUUUGAAGACUCCAUUUGCUUUUUUUUUUUCCAUUCCCUCUGUCAAAUCCAUCAUCUUCAGUUAAUUAUCAUAUUCAUGAAGAUAAUUAACUAGCUUUUGUCUUAUUUUUUGUUUUAGUUAACGUCUCAAUUAUUGCCAUCAAUUCAAGACAAUUAGGUGAAAAUUCAUUUUAUUAUUUAAAAUAUAUCACGGGAUUAGCUCUUUUGAGAGAAUUUUUUUAAGGAAAUACCGAUUCGAAUCGCCAGGCCCCUUCUAAUGGAGAGCCGUGUACAAUUCAUGGAGAGAGACACUUAACUAAAUGGUAUCUUAUACCUCAAUAGGUGACCUAUAUGUCAUAUGGCAAGGGUUCAAACCCCACUAAUGGCGAGGCACUCGCGUUGCAUCUUGGUGGGUGGUCAUACAUUCACAUACAGUUGAGAUGCUCUCUUUCGUGAACCGUACACGGCUCUAUGCAAAAAAGUUGGGACUAUACCUUCCAUUGUUGAUAGUCCAAAUUGAUGUCUUAAAGAAAGACACUUCGAAGAUUUCUCUUAAAAACCUGAAUCAAUCAUCAACAAAAACUACUUAAGAAAAUAUUAUAAUAUUACAUUAAAAUAGAAAUAAACUUUAUUAAUUAAAUGAUAGCCUAAACCAAAAUGGGUUCAAAGUGUAGAAAUCAUGAAUAAUUUAAUCACCGGCAAGGGAUACGAGUUAGUUCUUCUAACAAACCACAACUUCAUUUAAUUAAUUUUAGAUAAAAAUAAUUUGAGAUUUUAAUAAUUGAUCCAAUUGCUUAAAGAGACAUUGGUGAUGUGCACAUGAUAUAGAAGCUUAAGUAGAAAAAGAAAACAAGAGUUUAAGUAGAUUGUCAAAAUAUCUUUCUCAAAUAAAUAGAGUUUUAAUAGAAACAAUGAUUAUCAAAAAAUAUAUAAAUUACUGUUUUUUUCCUCACAAGAGGAAAAAAGGAAGUGCUGGUGUUUUUAAAGCAAAUAGAGUGAUCUGGAUGGAAUCUUUUGCUUAAAUCACUUUGAUUAAUUGCUUUACUCACUUUGACGUUUUUAAACUAUUUUUAGCAAAUAAAAAUAAAGCAAUACAUCUAAUCAAAUAUAUAUACUGAAUUUUACAAAUAUUAAAUUUAUAUUAGAAAAUUAUUUUGUGUAUUAAUAAAAAUUAAGUAUUGAAAAUUAAUUUUAUUGUUUGAUAAAAUUAAAUUUUUUUUUAAAUUAUUGAUUUUUUAAAUUUAAUCCUAUUGAUAUAAUAUUUUAUUAUGUUUUGUAUAGUUUUUUUAUACAAUGCCUAGAAACUACCCAUAAUCCUUCCCUAAUUCUUAAAUAGGAGAAUAAACUUUAACAAACUUGAACGUACGACAUCCUACACUGACAACAAUACCAAUGUCAACAAGCUAAGAUUUAAUAGGCAUGUUUUGUUUAAUUUUGAAUAAAAGUUAAAUAUACUAAUUUGAAUAUCUCAUCCUUUGACAAAAAAAAAUUCCAAUAUAGUGGUUUAAAGAAAAUCAACUUAAUAAAAUUACGAAAUCCAUUUUUUAUGACAAUUUUGUCCUGAGUGAAAAAACUAAUGGAAUUGUCAAGCAAAUAUAACAAUUUAAGUCGGUGUUUAGAAGAGCUGUGGGUGAGCUUCACUCACCUCCAUUAGUCGCUGUCAUUUUCUUCACACAUCGGCGUGUGACGCUCACUCUGACGAUUUUUCUCAUUUCGCCUCCACCAUUGACUUCAGAGCUAUAUUCCAACCUUUCCCUUUGAGAAUUUCUUGGUUUGGUGAGGUUGAAAUUUUUGGGAUUUUUUUCUAUUUCUUAGGUUUUAUACUAUUGGUUGAUGUAUUUUUUCGAUUAUUUUGUUUUCAUUUUCUUAAAAGUGACAACAAUAGAUAAAAAAGGGUGAUCGGUUUCGAUAACCUAUCUUGGCAAAUUAGUCCCAUCAAACUUGAUGAAAAUAACUAUCUUGCUUAGUAUUGAUCAUGUUUGUUGUUCAUCAAGGCUAGAGCCCUUCAAGGCUAUAUUAUAGGUGAUAAUAAGAAGCCUACUAUUGAUGAAUUUACAUUCAAUUCAUGGGAUUCAAAAAGCUCACAUAUCAUGUCACACAUCUCUAAAACGUAUUUAUUACUUGACAUCGUGACAAAAAUAUAGUGCAGUUGCUCUCACUUAUUCACAAGUGGAAAAUGACACUAAAAUAUUUGAGAUACGAAAUAAGAUCUAAUACCAAGCAAUGUGAGAUGUCAAUUUCUUAGUAUCAUUCUAGCCUUAGUAGGCUAUGGUAGGGGUUGGAUUAAUAUCAAGACUUUCAAGCAGACUGUACUGGAGAUGUUAAGUUUCAAAAACUUGUUGAAAAGGAAUGAAUCUAUGAUUUUUUUAGCUAGACUCAACCAUGAGUAUGAUCAUAUCCGAGUUCAAGUUCUUGGAAAAACUCAUUUUCUGUAUCUCCAAGAAUCUUAUUCCUAUGUCCAACAAGAAGAAAGUAGGAGUGUUAUGCUCUAUAAAACACCUAUAGAGAAAGCAGGUUUGAUUGCUAAUGGUUCCUAAUAGCAAAAGAAAAAAUACAAUUUUGAUAAGAAUCAUCUGGUGUGUGAUCAUUGUGGGAAUACUCAGCAUACUAAAUAGACAUGUUGGAAACUACAUGGUCUACCCAUCAAAGGUCGAGAAAAAAAACAAAUCAAGCCAACAUGGAACCAAGUAAAUUUCUCUGAAGUUGUGAAAACAUCCAAAGAGAUGGCUCCUAGUGAGGCAUUCUCAUCUGAUGAAAUUAAGCACCUUAGACACCUCUUGCCACAACUUGAGACUCCUUCUAAUAUGUCCAAUUUUUUGAAGUCCAGUAAUGCUUAUAAUGCUCACAAUAAUGAAGUAAGGAGGUUUAUUAAUGAAUUGAGACUCGCCAACCAUAAUGAAGUUGGAAGAGGACGUCAUCUUGUGUGGUUUUAAUAGAUGGAAUUUGAGCUACCUUAAGGAUUUUCUCUUGGUUGUUAAAUCAUCUUUUAGAGACUAGCUUUGAUAUCAAUUGUUAGCUUGAUUAAUCAAACCAAAAUUGCAAAGAAGGGGGUGAAUUGGCCUUUAAAAAUUUUGGUAAAAGCAAAGAAAUAAUAUGAAACAAUGAACACAAAGAUUUAGAGUGGUUCGGCUCCAAUUGCCUACUCCACUACCUUAGUUUUCUACAACUAAAAAUUUUCUCAAAUUCACUAAUUUGUUCAACCUUUGAGAAUAAGGUUUAACCUUACAACCCUCUUAAGAUCUCUAUCCCAAAUCUUAAGAUAAACCUUCUCAAAUAAUUGCAAAAAAGCAAAUAAAUAAAUAAUCCAAACAAGAUCGAAAUGUUUUUCAAUUAAGCACAAGUAGACAAGAAUACACUUAAGCAAAAGAAAGCCAAUAAGAGCUCACAGGUGUGUACAAGAGAAUUAUGGAAGUAUUAAGUACAAAGGUUGUUUGAUUGAUAAUUUUUUUUCCAAUUAAGCACAAAUAGACAAGAACACACUUGGGCAAAAGAAAGACGAUAAGAGCUCAUAAGUGUGUACAAGAGAAUUAUGGAAGUAUUGAGUACAAAGGUUGUUUCAUUGAUAAUUUUUGCUUCAAUAUGCUUUCUUGUUGUUGUAGGAUCUUUAAAAGUUAGUAUUUAUAUCCUCUAAUUGAUUUCCAACAGUUGAGGUUGUUGUAGUAGUUAAUAGAGUCGUUGGGGAUGUGAAAACUAGAGUAUUUAACACACCUACAAUAGCAAGUAUCAAUACCAAACAAAAAGGUAUCGAUAUUUUUUUUGGUAAUAAAUGCUAAAUUCAGUAACCGUUGGAAUUUACAUAUCGAUACCAUACCAAAUUUAUUGAUACCUUAUAAAAAGAUAUUCAUACUGGAUCGAUACUUAGUUGCUUUUGUGAGAAACAAAAUGCCAAUUUAGUAUCGUUUCUUUCAAAGGGUAUCGAUAUUUGGCCAAAAAGGUAUCGCUACAUUUUGGCCUAGAGUAAUUCUGACUUGUUUGAAAGAUAUUUUGACUUGAUAAAAUGAUAAAAGACCUUUUUACUUAGUUAAAAUCAUUUUAACUAGAUUUGAAAGUUGUUUCAAAAAAAUUUCUAAGAGUUCAAAAAGAUAUUUAAAAUUUUAUCUUUUAGACUUUAAUAUAAAAAUUAUUCUAUAAAUUUUUUAUUCAAUUUUAACUUUUAUUCGAAAAUAUUUUCAUUUGUUAUAUCAAAACAUAUUUUUAAAUAAAGCUUAAUUUAACAAAUAACAAUAUCACAGAGUUGUGUGCUUAGCCCUACCGGUGUCAUCUAUUUAUAAGAAGAAGAAGUAAAACCUUUUUUGAAUUGUAGAAGUUUAUUUCAAUUAGAAAAAAGAACUCCUAGUCUAACUAGAAGUAUAGGGGGUGACGACCAUAGUUAAUAAUACUUGGGUUUGUCGUCCCUCCCUUUAACAUGAGAGGCUUUUGGACCUCUCCUACAUCGAGUCCAAUUACAAGUACUUCUUAGACUUUUAACCCAAUACUUUAUAAUUCAAUCCAACCCAAUUUUUUUUCUAUUUCCCAAAAUAAACAUCUCAAUUUAUUUCCAAUUAAAUAAUAUUCUCAACCCAAUUCUAAUUCCGUUAAAAUCAUGACGACUUUACUGUAUAAGAAUCUAUAAGAAAAUAUAUUUAAUAUUUCUACAUUCAACGAGUUUAUUAUGACCAAAUGGUUUAUUUCUAUUUUCGAACUUCAUUUAAUUUGAAAACCAUAAAUUUCAAGUCUUUUUCAUUUUUCAUUUUGAAUAAAACCAUAUUCAUUUUCAAAUGUUUUCGAUUUCUCCAUUUUCACCAUUUCUAUCCAUUUCUAUUCAUUUAAUUGGCAUAGUGCCUAAAAUAGCCCCUAACGUUUGACUAUUUGGUCACUUUUGCCUUUUAUGUUUUUUCUUAGAGCACUUUAACCCUUAACACUUUUUUGGUCAAAUUGAUCUAUUUUUAACAGACAUACUGACGUGGCCGUUAGUUGAUUAAUGAUCAACAUUAACCGCUGAUGUGGCGGUCCAAAUGUAAUUAAAUGCUGAUGCGACACUAUUUUGUCUUAUAUGCCACAUCAGCAAAUGAUUUUAAAAUUAUUAAAAUUAUUUUAAAAUCAUCAUCAUCAUCACCGCUUCUUCUCCGUGUCCGCUUCUUUAUUGUCGGUUUUCUGGGUUCGAUUAAUGAAUAGAUCUAGGGGGCAACUUAGGUUAAAAAUACUUAUUAAAGCUUAAUUUUACUGUUGUAUAUAUAUUUUUCUUGAAUUGCUUUUGUGUCAAUUACUGUUUCGUGUUAUAUUUUCCCACCUGCAUUUGUUGUGUUUUUUUUAAUCUCUACCAAAUUCCAAACCUUUAAAAUUUGAAGCUCUAAGUUGAGUUCCAAAAAUGCUCACGUUUAGAUGCUAGAAGCAUAUCUAGAAAAAGAAAAAAGAAAAAAAAAUUAGAUUUUGAACUUUAAACUAUGGUGUCGGUAACAAACCCUAGAACCCAAAAUGAAAGCAAGAAAGGAAAGGAGAUCUAACCUUGAAAUUAUGAAAUCGGGCCUUGUGAGUAGCAUAUUUAAAGGUUGUGAACAUGGUGAGUUGAGAAAUUUCGAUCAACGAGUUAAGGGAAAAAAGGGAGCGAAGGAAAACGCGGACGGGGCUUAACAGAUUUAGCCUUGUAAGCAUAAAUUUGUAAGUUUCCUUUUAAGUGGCAUUUAUAGCUACUUACUUGCUUAGUUGCGUGGGCAUCAGCGUUUUGGUAAUGAAAUUUUGAAGUUAUAUUGACGAUUGUCUUAAAAGAUUAGAUGGGGAAAUAUUGUUCCAUCCAGAAGCAAUGGUAAAAAGUGGUGAGCUUGAGGAUAGACAUUGAACUAGUUGUGAGCAAUGGUGUUAAAAUUAUCAGACAGUUAGGUAGUUGAUGAAGCAGCAGCAAAGCUACAAAUUUGAAUGAUUGGAGAUGGAGAAGUAUGCAAUUUAAAGGAUACAUUUUGGGCCUAGAAAGAAAAAAUGAAGAAAAAGAAAUGGUGAUGAUGAUGAUGGUUUUAAAAUAAUUUUAAUAAUUUUAAAAUCAUUUCCUAACGUGACAUAUAAGACAAAAUAGUGUCAUGUCAGCAUUUAAUUGCAUUUGGACCGCCACGUUAGCGGUUAAUGUUGACUGUUAGUUAACUAAUGACCAUGUCAAUAUGUCAUUUAAAAAUAGAUUAAUUUGACUAAAAAAACACAUUAGGUGUUAACGUGCUCCAAAAAACCAUAAAAGGCAAAAAUGACCAAACAAUUAAACGUUAAAGGCUAUUUUUGGCAUUAUGCCCAUUUAAUUCAACAUGCAAUUCAUUUCUGGUUUCAACGAGCUAGCGGAGGGACCGAUUGAACAUAUGCAAUUGAGGCUCAAAUGAUUUAUAAUUAAGGUCCAACUUUUUGACUAUUAAUGAUAAACUCAUUUAGUCGCGAAGUCAUUCCACUAUAGUAUCGUGAUUGAGUUCACCCCAACGGCAUACUACGAAAGCAACUUGAUCAGUGCUCGUCCAAUGACUUUAUCAUAAGUGUGUUACCCUCAUAGGUUAUCCUUAAUCUCUUUGGGAUAAUAUUCGUUCUCCCAAUAUGAUCCUAUUUUAUCUCAUGAUAACCAUUACAUUUUCCUUCAUGAAAAGUCAAUUACUAUCAAAUAGUAAUCAAGUCAUUCCUCAUAAAGACGAACGAUUCAUGGCCACGUUUACUUUUCAUCAACCAUGUAAUGCCAAUGAGAGGAUACCAUUUACCCAUGUCUCAGGUUAUGAAUUUCACUAUUGUGAAUGGCGCUACAUACUACAAAACUCAUUUAAUAAGUACAAUAAUUGAAAAAAAAUACCAAAACUAAUAAGUAAAACUCAUUUAAUUUUAAAGUAAAGUUUAAGGACUAAUCAUAAAUUUAGUAAAACCUUUUUGUAAAAUUGAGAGUGAAAUUAUGGAAUUAACCAUAUAAGAUUUAAUCAUGCAAAUUUUUAAGUCAUUUCAUAGCAUUUAAGGACUCCAAUUGAAAAGAUAACAAAACAUGCUCAAAACCUACAUAUGACACAUUGACACCUAUCCACACAUACUAUUUUGUGUUUUCAUGCUAAUUUUCAUAUUCUAACAUAUCAUAUAACAUAUAUAGAUCAUACAAAUCAUACUCAAUUACACUAAAACAUACUUUAACACUCUAACUAGUUAGCUAUACUAGCAUGCAAUCCUAAAGUCACAACUCAUAUUACUUAACAUCUCAAUUUUGCAUCUCAUACAUUUCUAAGUGUAUUAUAGGUUCAUACCUUACCUAUUUGGUCAUUUUAAGCUUGUCUCAAUGAUCAGCAAGUCAUUCAAGCAUUUAUAACAAUAAUUCAUUAAGCACAUGCAUAUCAUUCAUCAUGCAACAAAAAUUUAACAAUCAUGCAUUACCUAUUUGGAAUGUAACAUUCCAAGAGAUAAUGAUCUUAUGUUCAAACUCUACUAAAUGUGAUUUAUAAAAUUUUAAAAUUUCUAAUAUUCUUUAAAAAUUUUAUUAAAUUUUAGUAUUUUCAUUUUUUGUAACUUUUUCUUUUUAAUUAUUUUAAUAAGGUUUGUAAUUUUUAAAAUAUUUUUAAUUUUUAAUUUUUAUAAUUUUACUAAAUUUAUUUUUUCUAUUUGUUAAUAGUUUUGCAACUUUUUAAUUAAUUUUUAUAAUUUUAUAAUUUUUAAUAUUUUUUUAAUAAUUUUUUGUAUGUAUUUUUAAGGUUUUUCGGACGACGACGACAUAGUAACAUCAUUGUAUGACACAUGACAGCAUAUGUUUGGUUGACCAAUUUUUUUAAUGUCCAAAGGGCUGAAUCAAGAAAACAUGAUAAUGUUAAGGACUAAACUGAGAACAUCUGAUAAUAUUAAGGAUUAAAGUGUUGAUUAAGCAUUUUGAAUUUGGAAGAAACUUAAAAGCUUCACGCAGCACGCUACAUCAACGACUGAGUUUUGAGUUUGUUCAUAUAUACACAUUUUAUUAUUUAUAAUUAAAAAAUUUCAGUUCUCACGUGCGAUUGACAUUCUGUACCGGUUUCCUAAUUGCUCCCGUACGGAUGUAUGAGGAGUUGGUGAAGACUAGGACUUGCAAUUUAUCUGCUUUAGACUGCUUCCCUAGCACUUCUUGUUUACUUUUUAUUAUUGUUAUCUAGAAACAACUAGAUUUAACUUAAUUCUUUGGUAACAAUUUUACUUUUCAUCUCUGUUGAAAAUAUGAGUACGUAAAAGAGAUGUGAGCAUGGAAAUUAUACUUUGAGCUCAUAUUUAUAGCAUAACAGGGUCGGAGUUGAAGGAGGGAAUGAGUCAAGAAAGGAUCCAAAUUCCAGUUUCAUGAAUUUGACAGCUAACGCAGUAAUUGUUUACUGUGGUUUGAUUUUGGUCCCAAAGAGAAAGCCAUACUAGAUCUGAUCACACGAUUAGCCUAUUUAAUCUUAAUCGAAUAAAUUUAGUCUAUGCUUUGGCACAGUUUUCAACAACUACAGGGGAUUAUUUCUUAUGUGUCAAUUUUGGCUUUCUUUCUUCAAAAGAUACCGAUAAUUGAAAAAACCAACACAACUUCCUAUUAAUUUUCUUCUUUAUUUUUCCUUAGUUGUCAAUCUUGGCUUGUUAUUAAAAGCUGCAGUAAAUAUAAUGGACCAAUUAUGUACAGCUUAAAUUAACGACUUGCUGACAAUAAAAAGUGUGUUAUACCCGAAACAAAACAAACUUUAUUAAAUUAGUUUUACGCUUUUAAAUAUUUUAAUAAUCAAACUUUCAUUUUUUAUAUUUCACUUAUAUAAAUCAUAAUUUUAUUGUUUCAAUAAAUAUUAAUAUAUAAUAUUUCAGAUCAAUAUAAUAGAGAUAUCGGAUUUGUUCAAAUUUUUACACCUAUGAUAAGUACAUUUAUAUCAAUAAUUUCAAUUGUUGAGUAGUUAAAAUAUUAAUUAUAUAAAAAGAUACGAAACUAUUUUAAUUUUACAUUAGUAUAAAUGGAUCUCACCCUGCUAACAUGUUUUAAUUUAAUGGUAAUUUUUAAGUUUUCAAGAAUUUUGAAAUUUUAUAUUCAAUUCUGACUAUUUCAUUCUAAAUUCUUUGUGGUUUAUAAAUCUAAUUUUUAUAUAUAGAUCAAAUAUAUUUCAGUUAUAAUAUUUAAUUUUAGUUGUAGUUAUUUGAAUAUAUUACUUCGAUUGCAAUUACAAUCUCUAAAACAUUAUAAUGGUAGAAAAAAAUCAUCUUAAAUAUUUAUAUUAUUAAUAGGAUAAAUUUUACAAAUGGUCACUUAAUCAUGUUCACAUUCCUGUUUUGAUCAUCCAAUUUUAAAAAAUUUCAAUUUAGGCACUAUCAUUUGAAUUCGUUCCUAUUUUGAUCAUCCACAUUUAAAUUUAUAAUGGAAAGCCUUUUUUCUAACUAGUAUAAUAAUACAUUUCAUCCACAAUACUUACAUAUUAUACCAAUUCAAUCCUAAUUCUAAAUAAUUCAAUAAAUUUAACCUGUCACAUUUACAAAUUCUAUCAAUUUGAUCCUCAUUUAUUGAAUUAUUUAGAAUUAGGAUCAUGUUAAAGUAAUUAAUAAGCAGAUAGUUAGUUAGCUGGUUAGCUAACUGUUGUAAGUUUCAGUUGAAAGAAGUUAAUGUGUUUCUAUAAAUAAGCAAAUAGAUGAUUGUACUUCCAAGGUUCUUGAUGAAUAAAAGAUUAAUUUAGUACAGAUACAGCUGUUAUGAUGAUAUCUUAACAUGGUAUCAGAAGUUGUUGUGUUGAACGUGUUUCUUGUAUUUUCUUUUUGUUUCUUUCAUGGAUUUCUCCUCCAGUCCUUCUGCUGUGCAAUCUGCUUUUCCUGCCAUGAAUACAAACUUCUCUGAUAGUCUUGCUGAUUGUCAUUUUCUUUCCACUAAGAAGAUCAGUGUGUUAUUGGAUGAUAAUAACUACUUACUAUGGCGUCAAUAGGUUAUUCUGGCGCUCAAAACUUUCAGACUACAACAUUUUCUUGAUCCUGCCACAUCACCUCCGCCUCAACGGAUUCUGGACGAUAAUGGUGUUCUUCAGGAGAACCCGGAGUUUUCUCGAUUUGAGCAGCAAAACUGUGCUCUAGCCUCUUGGCUACUAUCCUCUGUAAGUACAAGUGUUUUACUGCAUCUUAUUGGUCUAGAGUCCUGCUCUCAGAUUUGAAUGCUAUUGUUGAUCUUUUUGGGAGCAAGACUACUUCUCGUUUAAUGUCUUAUAGACAGACGUUACAUUCUCAACGCAAAGGUGACUUAUCUAUGAAGGAUUUCCUACUAAAGAUUAAGAGUUGUUGUGAGAAUCUUGCUAAUUGUGGAGAGAUCAUCAGUGAGCGUGAACAUGUCACUGCCAUUCUAAAUAGUUUGCCGUCUAAGUAUGAGUCGGCCAUCACUGUUGUCACUGCAAGUCAAGUUCCGUAUACUGUUCGAGGGGUGUCUACUAUUCUUCUUGAUGCUGAAACCAAACAGCAGGUUAUAGUCAAUGAAGAUCCUAGUUCAGCAAAUCUUGUGUCUAGUCAAGAGACAAGUUCUAUGGAUACAACUACUUCAGCCCCUACAUAUCGCCCUUCCUCAACAAAUUGAGGAAGAGGGCGUGGUCGCUCUUACGGCUCUCGGAUGCAGUGUCAACUAUGCGGGAAAAUGGAUCACCUUGUGGAUCGGUGCUAUCAUCGAUUUGAUGCGUCAUAUAAGAGUGUUGGCUAUAAACCACCUGGGGCUCCGCAAGCAAAUUUGAGUAUGGUUAGGUCUGCUUGUCCGAUGACACUUUGGAUGCCAAUUCUGCUUGCUGUCAAUCCAAAUCCUCAAUCAGGUUGGUACAAUUCCCCUGGUUAAUCUCCUAAUUGGACUAACCCAUUUGUUCACAAUUUCCCACAGUAUGGACCCAUGUCUUCUUCGACAUCUCCCACAGUUUCUCAGGCUCAGAUCCAUGCAGCGACUCCUGCAACAGUAGCUGAUAAUGCUUGGUAUCCAGACUCUGGUGCCACUCACCAUCUGACAAAUUCAAGCUCAUCUAUAGGUGAACAACAAUCUUGUACCGGCCCAGGUAAGGUGUAUGUGGGUAACGGUUCUACACUUUCUGUUAUGUCCAUGGGUCAAUUGUCACUGCUCACUCGGUCCCGAUUCUUACACAUGAAGUUAUUAUUGUAUGUACCUGGGAUAACUAAAAAUCUUCUUUCUGCAUCAAAGUUUACAAAAGAUAAUGCAGUAAUGUUUGAGUUCUAUCCUACACAGUGCCAAGUUCGUGAUUUAAAAGCUAGAAAGGUGCUUCUCUAUGGCUCUAUACACGAUGGGUUAUACAAGUUACAUCUUUCCAAUGCUGGCUUAACGGUGUUACCUGCUCAAUCUGCUCAGUGUUUUUCUGCUCAUUCUAUGGUUUCACUUGAUGUUUGGCAUUACAGAUUAGGACAUCCGUGUAAUGUUCUACUUAAAAGGGCUCUGUCUAAAUAUAAUAUACACUUUGAUAUGAAUAAACAAGUUGCUUGUUGUCAUGCAUGCCAUCUAGGGAAAGAACGUAAACAACCAUUUCCUCAGUCUGUCUCUGAAUACUCCGCUCCUUUACAACUUGUAGCUGCUGAUGUCUGGGGACCUACUCCAGUAGUAUCAAAUAGUUUUCGCUACUAUGUGGGGUUUACGGAUACAUAUUCACGAUACACAUAGGUAUAUUUUCUACGAAAAAAGUCAGAUGUUCUUGGUGUGUUCUCAGUGUUUCAUAAACAAGUAGAAAGGAUUUUGGGUUGCAAGCUUAAAACGCUGCAAACUGAUAGAGGAGGCGAGUUUCAAGCCUUGAAAGGAUAUUUGACACAACAUGGAAUUGUGCAACGUGUCACCUGUCCGUACACGUCACAGCAGAAUGGCUUGGUCGAACGUAAACAUAGGCAAAUCGUGGAAGUCAGUCUUUCUAUGCUGGCGCAUGUAAGGAUGCCAAUUAAUUACUGGAAUGAUGCCUUCAGCAGUGCUAUUUUUUUGGUUAAUAGGCUACCUUCCUCACCUAUAAGGGUGUCUCCGUAUGAAAAGUUGUUUCGAGAAUGUCCUCCUUACUCGUUUUUGCGGGUGUUUGGGUGUUUAUGCUUCCCUAACUUACGUCCUUACAAUACGUCCAAGUUACAGUUUCGAUCCACUCUGUGUACGUUUUUAGGAUACUCUCCGACUCAUAAAGGGUAUUAGUGUCCGGCAGCAGAUGGAAAAGUUUACAUUUCUCGCCAUGUUACGUUUUAUGAAGAUGUUUUUCCGUUUAAAAAUCUCAGCUCCAGGCCAUCACCUCCUUCACCUGACAUAGCACAGUCGAGUUCUAGACUGCUUGUUAUGCAACCUGGUUGUUCGCCCAUGGGUAGUACAGGUCACCACUAACAUGCUGUCCCGACUAGUGCUAGUAACACUCUAGCUCAAGGUUCUUCUAUUAGCUCAAGGUUCUCUUCAUAUGUACCCAGUAACGCUACAGCUCAGAGUUCUUCUGCUAGCUUGAGGCAAUGCACGACGCGCGAUAGGACUGCUACCACCCCUUCCGGAUUGGUUGUUCCAGCUAACUCACAUGCCAUGGUUACAAGUAGUAAAGCUGGUAUCUUCAAGCCUAAGGUUUACUUGAGUAGUACGGAUGCUGCAACAACCGAUGUUUCUUCUGACAUUCAUGAACUAUGCAACAGACUUGUUGGCAAACGACGGUUCAUGCUGAGUUACAAGCUCUUCAGCAGAAUAAGACAUGGGAACUGUGUUCUCUACCAGCUAACAGACAAGUUAUUGGGUGCAAGUGGCUAUUGAAAGUAAAAAGGAAGGCUGAUGGUACUGUGGAUAGAUACAAAGCGCGCUUGGUGGCGAAGAGAUUUUCACAACAUGUUGGCUUUAAUUUUCAGGAUACUUUUAGUCUUGUAGUUAAAGCAGUGACUAUACGAAUUGUGCUAGCUAUUACUGUUAUGAAAGGCUGGCCCAUUAGACAGGUAGACAUCAACAAUGCGUUCCUUAAUGGAGAACUGAUAGAAGAAAUCUAUAUGGCACAACCACUUGGUUUUGAAGUUAUAGGUCAAAAUAGAUAGCAGCUUGUGUGUCGUCUGGCUAAAGCUCUUUAUGGGCUAAAGCAAGCCCCCCGAGCUUGGUUUCAAACACUAAAGGAGUAUCUUGUACAUAAGCUUGGCUUUCAUGCUUCAAAAGCCGAUCCCUCAUUGUUUAUUCGCGAUUCUGAUGGUCAACUAUUACUUCUCAUGGUGUAUGUGGAUGACAUAGUUGUCACAGGUAACUCAGUUGCUACCAUUAACACAGUUGUCAAGGUACUUCAUGACAAGUUUUCCCUUAAAGACAUGAGACAACUGAAUUUUUUCUUGGGCAUUGAAGUUCGGCAUACAUCUCAGGGGUUGUUCCUAAAUCAAAAGAAGUACAUUGGAGAAAUACUGCACAAAACAUACAUGACAGGUGAUGUAUCCACACCCACACCUAUGUUGAGCUCCUCAAAGCUAGUAGCCUCAGACGAUUCUUUAGAGUUUACUGAUGGUUCCCUAUAUCAGAGUACAAUAGGUAUGCUUCAAUACCUGUGCAUUACAUGACCUGAAUUGGCAUUUUGUGUGAACAAACUAAGCCAAUAUAUGAAUUCUCCUAGUGAUGAGCAUUGGAAAGUAGUAAAACGGGUCUUAAGAUAUCUUGUUGGGAUUAUGGAUCAUGGUCUAUUUUUCUCAAAGGGUCAGUUUAAACUGGAAUGUUAUUCUGAUGCUGACUGGGCAGCCUUAGUUGAAGAUAGAUGUUCUACAACAGGAUAUGUCAUUUUUCUCGGGUCGAAUCCAGUUGCAUGGUCCUCUAAGAAGCAGGCUGUGGUCUCAAGGUCAUCUUCUGAAGCCGAGUAUCGUAGUCUAGCUAAUUGUGUUGCUGAAUUACUAUGGGUAAAACAACUGCUGGAUGAAAUUGGACUGUCAGUUUGCCAAACACUAGUCAUCUGGUGUGAUAAUACCUCUACAGUAUCCAUGGCUGCAAACCCGACUCAUCACGCUCGUAUGAAACAUGUUGAAAUUGAUCACCACUUUAUUCGGGAAAAGGUGAUGGCAGGGGUUUUGCAUGUUAAUUUCGUUCCUUCCACGAGGCAAAUUGCAGAUGUUCUUACCAAACCCAUACCCCCCACUCAAUUCAUUGAUUUUCGACAGAAGCUUCAAGUUUGUUCAAAAUGAUAGCUGUUGUCAGGGUUUAGUAAAACCGGGAGAAUGUUAAAGUAAUUAAUAAGCAGUUAGUUAGCUGGUUAGCUAACUGUUGUAAGUUUCAGUUGAAAGAAUUUAAUGUGUUAGUUAAUGUGUUUCUAUAAAUAAGCAAAUAGAUGAUUGUACUUCCAAGGUUCUUGAUGAAUAAAAGAUUAAUUCAGUACAGAUAUAGCUGUUAUGAUGAUAUCUUAACAAAAUUGAUAGAAUAUGUGUUAUUUUACCAUUUAGAAAAUGGCUUCCCGUUAUUAAUUUAACGAUGGAUGACCAAAAUAAGAACAAAUCUAAACGUUAAUGCUUAAAUUAAAAAAAUUAAAGUUGAGUGACCAAAAUAAAAACACAAACAUAAUUGGGUGGCUAUUUGUAGAAUUUACCCUUAUUAAUAAUAAAAGAGUUGAGGUUCAAUUAAGGUCGAGGAAAUAAAAUUUCAUACCCUAGGCUUGAUUUGUAUUUUAAAUGGAUCUUAUUUUUGGUCAUUGAAUAAUGUAAUAUUUUUUAAUCCAGCCGCCCAUGUUUGUUCCUUUCUUUUGGGCAGUAAAUCCUUAGUGCUUCCAUCCUGGGGUAAUGUUGAAGAAUUCGACUGUAAAAAUCAUUCCUAUUUCUGGAAAACCAAAAACUGUAAAAUUGUUCUAACUUCGACUUUUUUACAAAGGAUAAAAAUAGGGAGUUGUCUAAAUAUUAAACUCGAGAUUGAUAUUAAUGAAAGAUUUAAACAUUAUUUUUUAUCACUCUAUUUAUGAUUCAAUCAUCGGUAAUAGUAUUAUAAAGACUUUUGUAAUAAGAGUUAGAUUGUAUUUUGCCCACUGUAUUACAAAAAGGGUAAAUUAAUUCAUGUACUUUAAACCAAAGAGCAUAUUGAUCAUUCUGUUAAAAAUUUCAUCUAUUUUCUACUAUUAAAAAUUGGUUUAUGUACAUCAACAUAACGUAUACGUGGCACGUCACAUGUUACUGACUGGUAAUUUCAUUAGACACGCUAGUUUUUAACAGUACAAAUAGAUGAUUUUUUUAAUAGAAAAGAUUAAAUUACUUAUUGAUCUAAUGUACAUGGACCAAUUUGUCUAUUUUUAAAGUAUAAAAAAUAAAAUGCAAUCUAACUCUUAUUAUAAAAACCUAUAUGAUGCUUUUACCAUCAAUCAACACAUCUUAGAUCUUAAUUUUAUGGGAACAAAUAAAAUAAUGUGAACUAGGAUAAUUAAAAAUAAAAAAUCUGGUGCCAAUUGGGGUUGCGUUUUUUUUAUCUAUUAUUUUGUAAUUAGAUCAAACGUUUGGUUUAAUUUUCGAAUACAUAAAUGCAUAUUUAAACCACCGACAGAGAAACGAUGGUAAACUGUUGUUAUCAAUUUUUUUGUAAGUGUUUGACUAAUUAAACUGUUGCUAUCGGACGGCUGUCAUGGAAUCCAAUUGUUUUUAUUGAAAUCUUUUAACGUGGGGAUAAAGGAAUAAAUAUAAAUUAUCUCCAUUGAUAAUUAUGAAAAUGAUUCCAACUAUUCUGUACCGUGAAGGUAUUUUCAACCCUACAGCUUUUGAUAACGUUAUAUUUGUCAUUUUAUGUCACCAAAAUGUUAUCAAACAAUUACCCAAAGCCGGAGUAACAUUUUUUAAUAGGUUUAUAUUUUAUAAUUCAGUUUAAUUUUUUAUUUAAAUUCAGUGUUAAUAAUAUAUAAAUAUUAUUUUAAGCAAAUAUUCCGCUCGAAAUUCGAAUUCAACUUUUAAGAAACCUCUCUCUCUCUUUCUUGCUCAUCGGAAACGAUACACAUUGAGAAUUUCCAUGUUUAUUAUUUUGUUAUUCAAUAUUGAUUUAUAGUGCGUACAAAUUUGAGGUAAAAGAAUAUUUAUUAUCUAAAUUCAUUUUGAUUUUUUAUGGUUAACAAAAUUCAAGUUAUUAUAUAUUCAAACUGAAUAACAAUUUAUAUAUUUAAAAUUAUUAUUUAAAUAUACAAUUUUAUUUUUUGAAAAUAAUUUAAUAAAUUUUUGUAACACCCCAAAAUAUAUAAGGUUAGAAAUUUAAUUAAUCACCAAAAAAAUAGUUUAGUUUUGAUGGUUACAUAGUUAGAAAAGUUUUUAAGUCCCCUCUUCCCAGGAACAAAAUCAAUCUAGUAUAGACAUUAAAUGUGGUAGAAAUAUUGAAAGCAUGGAUAGUAGCCUAAUGACUAAACUCUCUUUUUAUCCAUUACGUCCCUAGUUCCAGUCACACCACUAUCCCUUCUCAUUUCUUUUUUGGACGGCAAGAAAGAAAAUUUUCCUAAUUAGCCCUUUAAAAUGUGAAAACCCUAACUAUUUAAUCAUCUUUCCAAAUCAAAAUAAAACUCUAGUUUUCCUUUUCCAACUGAACAAGGGUUUCAUUUUUUUUUCCCUAUUUCUUCCCCUAUUCUUUUUCAUCUUCCCCCUUCAAUUAUUUUCUUUACAUUGAUGGAAAUUUUAUUUUGAUCCUAAGUUUGAAAUCGAGCCCCAUUCAAUCAAUUUUUUAAUUGAUUUAGCAUAACAACGUUGAAUCCUGUAUUAAAUGUUGCCAAGAAUCAAUAAGAACAUCUCAAUUUUAACAUUUAGAUAUCAAAAUCCCCAUAGGUUCUAUUUUUGUUAAUUUCAAGAUCGAUUAAGCGAUCUUUUUUACAAAUAUUACCGAUUCCUUCCUAAAAUCUUGAUUUUUCCUUGAAGAUCGUUAUUAAUCCUUGCGUAUUUUUCGGUUGAAAGACUCGUUAUAAGUAUCCUAGAUCAAACUUGGACGUGAAGAUUAUCGUUUGAAACCCUAAAAGUCAAGUGUGUAUUUUUUCACAAGAAAGUCGAGACAAAAUCGAGCUUAGGAUAUGCCAUAUGGCUAGCCACACGGGUGUGUGGGUCGCCCGUAUGGACCACACGACCACCAUACGUGACCAUGUCCUCCUUGAAACCCUAAAUUUUCACUUCUCACACGACCUAGGACACCCCAUACAGCCUGCCACAUGAUCGUGUAACCUCUAUGGUUGUAGUUUCAAUUGCCACACGACCAUAGUCUCACACAUGGCCUAGCCACAUGACCAUGUACCCCCUUCACACGAUCUAGGGGUUCCCACACGGUCCAGUCACACGGCCAUGUGUUUCCUAUAACUCAGAAUUUACAGUUUUGACCUAAAAUUUUAUCUUUUGAUUAGAUUAGUCAUUGAAUAUAUUAUGAAUUACUUUUAGUGAAUUAAGUUAUGCAAUUAGGUCCUUGAUGAUAAGAAAAAAGGUAGAGUUCAGGAUUGACUGAUUUAUUGUAAUAUUUAUUUAUAUUUAUGAAUAUUUGAAUGAGACAUGAAUAAGUUAUGUUGCUAUUGAAUCUAUACUUGCGAAUGUAUGUACAACAUGCACUAUAAUAUUGUUAACCCGAAUACCUGAUAAAAUCAUGACUAUGUUACUAAUAUUCCAUGUGUUAGCAUAUUAGAUACUAUCAUAUUUUGUUUGUAUUCAAUAUUUCAUAAUGUAUUGCAUGGGUUGGAACAAUAUGUAUAGAGGAAAAUCAGACAAUCUAUCUGCAAGAAAAAUAGCGGUGCAAGUCACAACCAUGCGACAGUUCUUAUCUACAAAUUACUGUGUAUCAAAAGUAAAAUGCUGAUUUUGAAGACGAGUUUAUGCUGUAAAAUCUACAGCCAAAAAAUAGGUCCCAUCUGCAGGACUUUUGCUGUGAACCCACAACCAAAGACGGAUUCUAACUACGGGGACUUGUUGUAUGCCCACAACUUAAUGGCAGUUAUUAUUUGUGAACCAGUAGUUGUUUAUCCACAUAUCGAUGUGUUGAAGAAGGGAGUUCUAAGGAACUCUUAUUAUGGUGUGUGGCGACGGGGUAGGAUUUAUUCUAUUUAAACUCGGAACUGUAUGGCAUCAUUUAAUUCAUGUGCAUACAAAUCUAAAAAUUAUGUUAUAAUACAUAGGCGUAAAUAUAUAUAUGUGUAUGAAUAUGAUUAUUAUGGGAAAAUAUGGGAAUUUUGGUUAAUUUUAAAAAUUAUUAUUGUGAGUUCUGACAUAUUAAUGAUGUCAUGAGGUUACUUUUGUUCAAACGUACUAAUAAUUGGUCGACUAAUAGCAAGGUUACUUACAUUUCCUUAAGCUCCCCCAAACUUAACCUCCUAUAAAUAGACAAUGGCAUGGGGUUGAUACUGGCAUCGAGGUCACAUAGGGUUUUCCUGAAACUCACUCCACCUAUUUCAAUGGGAAUGGUAAAGCUACCGGGAUCCUUUAGUUUGGGCGAAACUCUUCUAGACACCGUCGUACUUUAUUUUUUGUUAAGUGUAAUUUACUCUUUUCUCCCUAUUUUCCUUCGAUGAAACAUAACUUCUCUAAGGAACUUGACAUUUUUAGGCAUUUUCUCAAGGAUUUCAAAUAAGAGGAAGUUCAUGUUCAAGGCUUUAAACAUCUUGAGGAAGUCUGUGAACUCCUCAUCAUCCUUCUUCUUUCUCUCCUCUAAGCGGCUCGAAAAGGGUAUGGGCCUUGGGGUAGGUGGUGGUGGUGGAAUGAUUCUAUCUUCGAUUUUGACUUGUGUGGGUACACUAUAAGGUUUUUUCGUCUCGAGCACCCCGUCUCCAGCACUAGAAGUGCAGAUGCUAUCGUCCUUCUCACUCACUUCCUUCUCCCCACAAUUUGGUCAGAUAGGUUCCUUAACUACAGCCUUAUAUCUAAGAGUGAUUGCAUUGGUAUGCUCUUUUCCUUUUCUCUUCGGAAUAGGUUCGGUAUUAUUGGGUAUGCUAGAUACUAAAUUAUUUUGUAACAGUUACAAAACUUGGUCCAAUUGGCUACUGAUCUGGCGCACAUCGGCUUACACUAAAUGCAAACCUUUCUUUACCUUACUCACCCUAAUUGAUAAUGAUAGGUCACUACUAUAGGUUGGUUUCCUUUCUUGGUCUUGGGGUGCUCUAAAAAGUAAUGGAGGAUGGAAUGGUGUGUUAGGAUUUAGAGGAUUAGUGUUUUGGUUCCCUUGAUAUUACGGUCCUACUUGGUUCUUUCCCCACCUAAGGUUAGGAUAUUCACGCUACUCGGGGUUAUAAGUGUUGAAGUAACAGUUAUAUACUCUAUUCCCCACAUAAUUCACCUCCAUAUAGUUGCUCUCCUCAUCGUGUCCUACAAUAAAAUUAGUUAGAUUGGGCUAGUUUUAGACUUGCACCUUAGUCGCGCUCAUCUUCAAUUGGUUUAACCUUUCGAGGAUUUUUUGAUACUUAUCCUUGCCACUAACAGCGUUUGUUGCCGCUUAUUUAGCUCAAUAUGUGAACCGCUCAGCUGACCACAUAUAAGAGUUUAUUAUCACAUCUUCAAUGAGUUAACAGGUCUUGGCAUAGGUUUUUAACAUGAAGGCUCCGACGGAUGGUCCAUCAAGGCUAGAGUGUAAAUUCCUAUCAAGUCCAUUGUAGAAGAUUUGAAGUUGCAGUCAAUCUUGUAAGCCAUGGUACGAACACUUGCACAACAUCAAUUUGAAGCGUUCUCAAGCCUCAUAUAAUGACUCUUCUUCCAGUUGUCAAAAAUUCGUAAUGUCCAUCCGAAGUUUCAUGGUCUAGCUUGGUGGGAAAUAUUUUACCAAAAAUUUGCUUGCUAGCUCAUCCCUAGUGUUGAUUGAAUCUAUUGGCUGCGAAUAAUCGAAGAUGAAUAGUAUUAUCGGAUACCCUAUUAUACUUGAAAGUAUCACAAAUGGUUCGAAACCGUUUAAAGUGUUUAUUUUGAUCAUCAUUCAUUAACCCUCAAAGUUGAAGGUUUGAUUUUAUCAUUUGGAUUAGCGCCAAUUUAAUUUCAAAGUUGUUAGCAUUAAUCAUCGAGCGAUUAGUGCUACCUCAAACAACAUCUAGGUUUGGCAUCGCAUAGUCGCAUAAAGUUCUUUGCUCCAUGAGUGGUUGUGGUGGUUGCCGAAUUUCUUCUUGAGGAUUUUCAAAAGGUUUCUCUCUCAGUGGAAAGGGUAUGUCUCUUGGAUGUUGCGCCCUUCUUACGUGUGUGAUGAUACGUUCCAGUUCCGGCUCAAACGGUAAUACACUAUUACUGGUUCGAGUCAUACAAUGUUCUUACAAGCACGAGAGAUUGAAGAAAAUUAAAUUUGAAAACAAAAUAAAAAUAAUAGAAAAUAAGGCCAUAUCUAUAAAUCCUACUUUGGCUACUUAUCUCUAAGUAAAAGUGUACACUAAAAAUUACUUAAUCUUACACCAUCUUCUCGGGCAACGGCGCCAACAACUUGACUGACUGUACACGUGCACAUUAAAACACUGAAUUUAUUUAAUAAUUUUUAAAUCUUGGUUUUACUACAAGCAUACAGGUCAGUUGUAAUAUUUAUAAUGUUACAAUAAAACACCGAAGUAUUCCAAGGAUCGAACCCAAAGGAAGAGAUUAUUGAGCAAUAACUAGCAUACAUAAUAAAGUUUCAGUGGCUACUAAUAUAAUUUUAUUGUAUAGUAGCCCAUAAAAGAUGGUUUUUGCAAGAAAAUUAGAUAUUUACCAUAAGGACUAAAUUGCAUGAAAUGUAAUCUAGAGGGAUUAUCUAGCAAAUAACUAAUGAGGGUUGGUUGACUUCGAUAUGGUUCACCAAGUUUCAGACUCGGGAUAUAAAUUGCUUAAAUUACUAAGUGGCUCCAUUUUAUCUUUCGAUCUAAAUCUUACCGACUUAGAUGAAUUAGGCCGGCUUAUCUUCUGACCUCACCGGUUAAUCUGGGACUAACGAAUGGGUGUGCAACAAAAUUACCUUUCGACCUCACUUUAUCUUAAUAUUCUCUUAGUCACUACCUAAGUUCUUAGUUCUAUUCAAAUUAGUCCAAUUUGUUACGAUUUAGUCCUUUGUCCAAAUAGUUUAGUUUACCCGCACCUCCAUCAACCAACCUCCUUAAGGGUUUAGCUACACAUGCUCAAAGUGAAGAAAAUAAACAUAGAAAUGGAAAACAAGGCAGCCAUGAAAGUAAAGCUUGAGAAAAACAUAAAAGUAGAGAUUUUUAUGCAAGAAAACUUAAGUAGCAUGAAACCAAAAACAUUUAACAAAGAAAUCUAAAGCAAGGAACAUAAAAGGAACAAGCUUUAACAUAUUUAAAGUAAAAUAAACUAAAAUGCAUUAAAUGAAAGCUUAGAGAGUCUUGAAAGCAAAGUACAGGGACUAGAAAUGUAAAUAAACCUUGGCUAUAGUGUUAACCAACUUAACUAACAUAAAGAACAACAAGAACAAGAAGUAAAUGUAGAAAAAUAAACUAUAAUCUAAUGUAGAAAAAGAGAAAAAUAAAAACCUUAGAAAAUCUAAAAAAAACUAGAGAAAACUAAACCUAAAUUGAACUAAUAUGUGUCUCCUUCCUCUUCAGCAAUUUUUGGCUGCUUUGAAGUGUAUUCUGAUGAAUUUUUAAUGCCAAAAAUGCCUUUACACGGGCCUUGUGUGAUUGGUGGCCGAGUAGACAAAGGUUGCUCUUUUUGUCCAAGUUUGCCCCCUCACAGAAGUAAUAUCACGAUACCUGGAGGAGGAUAUUGCGAUAUCUCGAGCACUGUUGAAACUUGGGGUCUUCAUUGGUAUAUGGAUAUUGCGAUUGAAACACCCCUAACCCGUAUCUGUCACCGAAACAUGGUUAUGGAGAAUUACCAGAAUAAACAGAUUAAAUUCAUACAUUUCAUAUUAUUAUUUAAUAUUCAUGUCAGAUAUUAUUCAUAAAGUCCAUUAUGAGAGCCUUCGAGGCUCAAAUUUCACUUUAGAAUCAAAUUGGGACUAAAUCAAAAACUCAGAGAAUUUUUUGUGAAAUUUCAAAAUUUUCCAAGGUGUAGGGGACACACGCCCAUGUGGUCAGGCUGUGUGGCUCACACGGCCAAGUGAAACACCCUUGUCUUAGGCCGUGUGGUAUUUGAAGUAAGGCACACGGCCGUUUCCCCAGCCCAUGUAACUCUCUGAAUUGCAAUACAUUUAACUGGAGGGGUCACACAGCCAAGCCACACACCCGUGUGCCAGGCUGUGUGAUCAAUUCUGAGCAUUUUGUUUUAAAAUUUUAAGAUGCAGGGGACACACAGAAAGAACACACCCCCAUGUGCUAGGCUGUAUGUCACACACGGCUGAGACACACGCCCGUGUCUCUGCCCAUAUGGACAAAUUAAGGUCAUUUCCAAGUCUUAUUCUUCACCCAAUUUCACCUUCCAUCUAUAUAAGCAUUUAAACACAUUCAAGAGCCAAUUCAAGACAUUUAAACCUAUCUAAAUUCAAGUCUUAUGCAUGACAUAUUAAUACCUACAAUCAAAUGUCCAACUUACCAAGAUAGCCUAACACUUAUAAACAUGUUUUACCAAGUACACUAUCAUAAACUAAUAUCCAAUAUACUUAUAUGAUUUUCCUCAUUCACCUCUUUAAACAUACUCAUCAAGCAUAUUAAGACUAUUUACAUAUCAAAACAUAUCAUUUAAUAGCCAUUCCAAUGGCUAAUUUCAACCAACAUUAAAUUGCCAUCAAUGGUAACAUUUAACCUAUACAUGCGAUUAUUACCAAAAUUAGUUUACUAUUUAUAUAUAUACCGAAAAGUCUAGGGGAUAGUGUGAUAUAGCUCCGACUAGCUUCCAACCUUUACGAGCCUCCGAGUACUAUAAAAUAGAGGAAAUAAGACAGAGUAAGCACUUAAUUCUUAGUAAGUUCGUAUAACGGGAAAUUAACUUACCAUUCAUUUACUUAUAUAAUAAACAUGCAUAAUACAUCCAAAGCAAUUGGGCAAUUAGCCUAGCACAUAUAACCUUAACAAACAUGUUAGUCAUGUAUUUUAUGUGAAUAACAAGAACAAGGAUGAGCUCAUCAGGUAUCGAGUUUCCAAGUAUUUCAUGCAUAUAUAGAUAAUAGUUUCAUUUUGAUUUCACAUGUUCUCAUGUCAGAAUUUCACCCGUUGAAUCAUUUGAAAUCUCGAUGGAUACUUAGGUAGUACACUUGAAGUGUACAAUACUAUAAAUCCGUCAAUUCGUAUUCGGGAGUGCUUUUAUGAUUACUUAAAUAGAAAGAUCUCUCUCAAACACUAUAACAGGAAGCUCAUUGAGCCUUGUAACGGAAAGCUUAUCCGGGCAAUAUAACGAGAAGCUCAUAAAGAGCCUAUAACGGGUAGCUCCAAAGAUCAAUUAACGAGUAGCUCCGAAGAGCAAUUAACGGGAAGCACUGGAUAGCCAUAUAAAGGGAAGUUCAAACGAGCACUACUGGGAAGCUCACAAAGAGCCUUUAAUCGGGAAGCUUACGAAGAGCCAUAUAACGGGACACUCAUAAUAGCUGCGAUGUGCCCACAACACAUGUAGGGUCACAAUCGAUUGUGAUGCUCUGAAAAGCAUUUAACGAGAAGCUCGUAAGAACACUAUAACGGGAAGCUUGGGAGGGCUUGUAAUGGGAUGCUCUUUCAAGCUACGGUAUGUUUGCAACAUAUGCAGGAACACUACCAUUUCGAGAAACAGAACCCUGUAUCCAUCGAAUCUCAUUAUCCAAACGAGACUUAUUUAUUUAUCAAGAAUUUUCAGUUAGGAGAUCAAUUACAUACACAUAUAUGUCAUUUACAUAAUUUACAUAUUCAACACUCAAUAUAAGCAUAUAAAUAUAUGCAAGUAAGUUACACGAACUUACCUCGACAAUUGUUCGUGACUUAUAAAAUACUAAUCCGAUACUUUUUCUUAUCCAUGAUCUAACUUCGUUUUUGAUCUAUCCAAAUCUAUAUGAGUAAAUUUAACAUCAAAUUAAUACAAUUUAAAUUCAAUUCAGUCCAAGUCACAUCGUAGGAAAAAUUAUUAUGUUACCCUUAUACUUUUAAUUAAUGAUGAUUUCGUUUCUAAGCUUGAAAAAUAAAAUUCAUGCAAUUUAAAUCCUUAUCCCAAGCCUAGAUAUUUUCAUAUAUAAAUGAAUAGUAGCCCAUGAAUUCUAUGAAAUUUUAGAAUUUUUCAUGAAUUCAACAACUUUUCAAUUUAAUCUAUAAAUCAUGAUUUCAUCUAAAAUCCUUUAAUAAAAUACCUUUAAAUAUCCAUCAACAUCUCAAUUUCAUCAUAUAAUAACUAAAAUCAUAUAAAAUUAUUAAUGGAAUCUUCCACAACUUUCAAUAAAAUCAAAAACUAAUGAAAUGGUUAGUUGGACCUAAUUGUAAAAGUCCCAAAACAAAAAAAUUUCAAGGAAAGAGCAAGAAUUAAACUUGCAUGAAGAAAAUAUUGAAAAAUUUACAAUGGAUGGUUUAGAACUAAAAAAUGAUGAUGAAAAUGUCUAGAAUUUCAAUUUCCCUUUUAUUUGACUUAAAUUUGGCAAAAUUUACAAUUUUGCCCUUAUUUCACAUCAAUUCCUUGAUUUUUCUAUGCUUAUGCUGCCUCAACCAUCCCAUGUGGGUCCAAUUGCCCAUUUAGUCCUCUUUUAUUUACUAUUUAGGCUAUUUAAUCAAUAUUUCUUUAAUUAUCAAGUUUUACACAUAUUUCAAUUUAGUCAUUUUUAAUGAAUUAACCACCAAAAUGUUAAAAUUCUCUAACGAAAAUUUAUUACUACCUUAAUGACCCAUCGUAAAUAUUUAUAAAAAUAUUUACGGCUCAGUUUAUAGGAUCGAGAUCUUGAUACCUCUUUUCUAAGUCACUUAACCUAAUAAAGCCUUAUAAAACACAAAUUACUAAUUCAAAACUCUUUUAAAACCAUAUUUGGCUCGUAAAUAUUAAAUAAUAAAAAUUUACGAGCUUAUUUUCUAGAUUUGGUGGUCUCAAACCACUAUUUCUGACAUCACUGAAAAUCGGGCUGUCAUAACUCUCCCCUUAAAGAAUUUUCGUCCUCGAAAAUCUUACUAGAAACUCUUACUAGUAAAGAGGUUUGGAUAUUGCUUCCUCAUUGUUUCCUCUAGUUCCCAGGUAGUUUCUUCUAUUCCGUGUCGUUGCUAGAGGAAUUUUGCUAAAGCUACCUUUUUAUUUCUUAAUUCUUUUGUCUCAUGUGCCAGAAUUUUGAUUCUUUCCAUGUUAUAAGUCAUAUCAGGCUAAAUCUCCACAUCUGUCGGAGAGAUAACAUGUGAAGGGUCUGAGCGAUACCGUCGUAACAUAGACACGUAGAAAACAUUAUGAAUUCUCUCGAGUUCUGGUGGUAGUGUCAAUCGGUACGUAACAAGUCUAAUUCUUUCAGUGAUCUCAUACGACCUAAUAAAUUGUGGACUCAAUUUGCCUUUACGGCCGAACCGAAGAACUUUUUUCCAAGGUGAAACUUUCAAGAAUACCUUGUCGCCAACUUGAAAUUCUAUUUCUUUUCUUUUAAUAUCUGCAUAGGAUUUCUAUCAAUUAGAAGCUGUUUUUAAGCUGUCUUGGAUCACUUUCACCUUUUUUUCAGUUUCUCGAAUCAAAUCAACUCUAUGUAUCUUUUUUCUCACUAAGCUCAGUCUAAUAUAAUGGAGUUCUACAUUUGCGUCCAUACAAAGCUUCAUACGGUGGCAUCUUUAUACUUGACUAAUAACUAUUAUUAUAUGUGAAUUUGACUUGCGACAAAUACUUUUCCCAAUUGCCUUCGAGUUCCAAUAUACAGGACCGAAGCAUAUCUUCGAGAAUCUGAAUCACACGUUUUGACUGACCAUCCGUUUGAGGAUGAAAUGCUGUACUAAAAUGUAACCGUGUGCCCAGAGCUUCUUGCAACUUGUUCCAGAAUCGAGAAGUAAACAGUGGAUCUCUAUCUGAAACAAUAGAGACUGACACUCUAUGUAACCUGACAAUCUCAGAAAUAUACAAUUCCUCUAAUCUAUCCAGGGAGAAAUUCCUAUGUACCGGAAUAAAAUGCGUAGACUUUGUAAAUGAUCAACGAUUACCCAAAUGGCAUAUUUCUUUUUCGGAGAUAGGGGCAAUCCCAACAUAAAGUCCAUGGUAACUUUUUCCCAUUUUCAUUCCGAUAUUGCCACUGACUGAAGUAAACCUGAAGGUACCUGAUGUUCGGCUUUAACUUGCUGACAUAUCAAACAUUUAAAUACGAAUUCAAAAAUAUCACGCUUCAUUCCCUAUCACCAAUACAUCUUUUUCAAAUCAUUAUACAUUUUAUUACUCCCCGGAUGCACAGACAUAGUACCAUUAUGAGAUUCGUACAAAAUCUUCUGUAUAAGUUUUGAAUUCUUCAGUACACAUACUCUACCUCUGAAUAAUAGACAGUCAUCAAGGUCCAAUCUGAAAUUCUAAAUCAGAAACUGAUUCACACUGUACCAGUUUAGCUUUCAAUUCAUUAUCAUUUUUUUGAACUUUACAAAUCAGUUGUAGAAACAUCGGUUUAGCUUUUAACUCAGCUAUAAUCAAACCAUCAUCAAAUAAUGACAAUCGAGUAUUCAUUGCUCGCAAGACAAACAAAGAUUUUCUACUUAGAGCAUCAACAACCACAUUUGCCUUUCCCGGAUGAUAAUCAAUAACAAGACCAUAAUCUUUCAAUAAUUCAAGCCACUUACGCUAUCUCAGAUUUUAAUCUUUCUGCGACAUCAAAUACUUUAAGCUUUUAUGAUCGGUGAAUAUGUGACAUUUUUCACCAAACAAGUAAUGUCGCAAAAUUUUAGUACAAACACAAUAGCUGCUAAUUUAAGAUCAUAUAUCGGGUAAUUCCUUUCAUGUGGCCUAAGCUAUCUAGAAGCAUAGGCUAUUACUUUACCUUCUUGCAUCAAAACACAGCUUAAACCAUUCAAUGAUGCAUCACUACAAAUUACAAAUUCCUUACCCGAUUCAGGCUGAACUAGAAUUGGUGCUUUAAUCAACAUGGCUUUCAAUCGGUCAAAAUUUUGCUGAGUCCAUACAAAUUUCACAUCUUUUUACAACAAUCGUGUCAUCGGAGAAGGUAUCAUCGAGAAUCCUUGUACAAAUCUUCGAUAAUAACCGGCUAAUCCUAAAAAACUUUUGACUUUAGACACAUUUUUCAGAGGUUUCCAAUUAACAAUUGUUGAAAUUUUAUUCAGAUCCACUCUAAUGCCUUUAGCCGGCACUAUAUACCCCCAAAAAACCAAAUUUUCGAAGCCAGAAUUCACAUUUACUGAAUUUAGCAUACAAUUGUUUUUCACAUAGGGUUUGUAUUACAAUUGUCAAAUUAUUAGCAUGUUCAUUUUCAUCUUGGGAAUAUACCAAAAUAUCAUCAAUGAAUACCACCACAAAUCUAUCCAGAUACAAUCUAAAAAUUGUAUUCAUCAAAUCCAUGAACACUGCAGGUGCAUUUGUCAAGUUAAACGACAUUACAAGAAAUUCAUACUGCCCGUACCUGGUUCUGAAGGCUGUUUUUGGUACAUCCGACUCUUUCACUCGUAACUGAUAGUAAGCAAAACGAAGACCAAUCUUUGAAAACAUUGUAGUACAUUUUAGUUGAUCGAACAAGUCAUUAAUACGAGACAAUAGAUAUUUAUUCUUGAUUGUAACCUUGUUCAACUGUUAGUAAUCUAUACACAAUCUCAACGAUCCAUCUUUCUUCUUUACAAAUCGAACUGGUGCACCCUAAGGUAAAGAACUAGAUCGUGCAAAACCCCUGUCAGUUAAUUCUUACAACUACGUUUUCAACUCUUUCAAUUCCGUUAGAGCCAUUCUAUAAGGUGCUAUUGGUAUUGGUGUUGUUCCAAGAACAAGAUCUAUAGAAAAUUCCACUUCUCCAUCCGGUGGUAAUCCGGGUAAUUCUUCCGGAAACACAUCAAAAUAUUCAUAUACCAUUCACACUAAUUUAAUCUUCGAUUCAGAUGCUUUAGUGUCCAACACAUAAGAAAGGUAAGCAUUACAUUGUGUCCUAACAUAUUUCAGUGCUAACAUGGCUAAUAUCACAUUAGUCAAACCAUCCAAUUUAUUAGAUUCAAUACAGAGUAAUUCAUCAUCCUGGCAUUUCAAUACAAUAUACUUCUGUUUACAAUUUACCACGGUAUCAUGCUCAGUCAACAAAUCCAUACUUAGAAUCACAUCAAAUUCAUCAAAUGGCAAUAACAUUAAAUUAGCCAGAAAAUAGUAACAUCGUAUCAUUAACGGACAAUUCUUACAGAUUUUAUCCACCAUUACAUACUGGCUCAGGGGGUUUGAGACUUUAACCACGAAUUCAAUGGACUCAAUAGAUAAAUUUUUAUUAUUCACUAAAUUUAUGCAGAUAUAUGAAUGAAUUGAACCAGGAUCAAUUAAAGCAAUUAUAUCAGUAUUAAGAAGAGAAAAAGUACCAGUAAUCACAUCAGAUACAGAGGCGUCCUUAUGUGCACGAAUAGCAUAUGUUCUUACCGGUGCUCGUGCCUAAAAUUUGACAGUUGAAUCUUUUUUCGUACCUCAGUUACUAUUCAUAAUACCGAGAUUAUGAGACGGUCUCCUUUUUGUAGCAGGAUUACUAGACUUUGACGUUUGAAUAGUUUCUUUUCAGGCUUUUUCGGGCAAUCUCUAAGAUAGUGGUCAAAAGAUCCACAUCUAAAGCAGGCUCCGCUCUUCAGACGACACUCACCAAAAUAAAAUUUAUUAUAGCAUUUACACCUGGGUUUGAGAUUUCCAACACUGCCUGCACUUGCUAUAGAUGUAGCCCGAGAUCUCAGAUUAGAACAUUGAAUACUUCUGUCUCUCCCAAAAUAUCCCGCAGAAGUAACAGGACGGUCAUGAUAUUUCUUUGACUUCUUUGAAGCUGUCUGAUAUGACUUUUUGGUAAAUCUUUUACUUAAAGUUCGGGCUUCAAUCUUAGCUUGUUUUUUUUUCUCUUUACUUAGUUCUUCAUCUUUAUGAGCUCGAUUGAUCAGUGCAACAAAUUCUUUUAAUUCCAGAAUCCCAACUAACAACUUGAUAUCUUCAUUUAAACCCCCUUCAAUUCGCUUGUACAUGACAAUUUCAGCCGAAAUACAUUCUCUGGCAUAUUUUAUUAACCGAACAAGUUCUCUUUCAUACUCAGAUACAGUCAUACGACCCUGUUUAAGCUCUAGAAAUUCCUUUUAUUUCUGAUUAAGAAACCUCUAGCUGAUAUACUUCUUUCAGAAUUUGAUUUGGAAGAAUUCCCAUGUAAUUUGCUCUUUUGGUACAACAAAAAUUAAGGUGUUCCACCGCUGGUAGGUUGAAUCUUUCAACAAAGACACAGCAUAUUUCAGAAAUUAGGCUGGUGUGCAAGAUAAUUCAUCUAAAACCCUUAUAGUGUUUUCUAACCAAAACUCAGCCCUUUCAGGAUCAUCUUCGGCUGUUACUCUAAAUUUUUUUGCCCUAUAUUUACGAAUUUUAUCUACAGGAGGCUUACUAAUUCUAACAAGUUCCAUUCCUUGUGGUAUGUCGGGAACCGGUAUAGAAGUAGGAGUGGGAGGUUGUUGUACAGCUGGAUUUGUUCAAUGUAUUUUGUAACCUACGCAUUCAUGAUUUGGAAGAAAGCUUCUUUUGCCUCUUCUCUUCGGCCCUCAGAUACAGACCUUCUACUACUAGAUGCUUCUCUUCGAACUAAAACUUGAGCUUGGCUCUCAGUUUCCUCGGAUUCAGCUCGGUUGGAUGACGUUACUAUAUGAAAAAUAUAUUUUAAAUGGUCAGGAGAUAUCACACUAUCACAAGUUAUAUAAUGGCAUGUAUAGCUAGACCCGUACAUGAUACGUUAGUCUAAGAAUCUGCUAAACCAUAACUCUGAUACCAAUAAACGUAACACCCCUAACCCGUAUCCGUUGAUGGAAUAGGGUUAUAGAGUAUUACUAGAAUAAAAAAAUUAAAUACAGACAUUUCAUAUUAUUAUUUAACAUUCAUGUAUUCAUAAAGUCCCUUAUAAGAGCCAUCGAGUCUCAAAUUUCACUUUAGAAUCGAAUCGAGACUAAAUUGGAAACUCAGAGAAUUUUUCGCGAAAUUUCAAAAUUUUCCAAGGUGCAUGGGACACACGCCCGUGUGGUCAGGCCGUGCGGCUCACACGGCCAAAUGACACACCCGUGUCUUAGGCCAUGUGUUAUUUGAAAUAGGGCACAUGGCUGUCUCCCCAACCCGUGUAACUCUCUGACUUACAAUACAUUUAAUUGCAGGGGUCACAUGGCCAAGCCACACGCCCGUGUGCCAGGACAUGUGAUCAAUUCUGAGCAUUUUGUUUUAAAAUUUUAAGAUGCAAGGGACACACGACUAGAACACACCCCCAUGUGCUAGGCCAUGUGUCACACACAGCUGAGACACAUGCCCGUGUCUCUUCCCGUAUGGACAAAAUAAGGUCAUUUCCAAUUCUUAUUCUUCACCCAAUUUCACCUUUCACUUAUAUAAGCAUUUAAACGCAUUCAAGAGCCAAUUCAAGACAUUUAAACCUAGCCAAAUUCAAGUCUUAUGCAUGACAUAUUAAUACCUGUGAUCAAAUGUCCAACUUACCAAGGUAGCCUAAUACUUAUAAACAUGUUUUACCAAAUACGCUAUCAUAAACUAAUAUCCAAUUUACUUAUAUGAUUUUCCUCAUUCACCCCUUUAAACAUACUCAUCAAGCAUAUCAAGACUAUUUAUGUAACACCCCAAACCCGAUCUAAACGUUAUGACCGAAUCUGGCGAUGUCACAUUGUAACACCCCUUACCUGUAUUCGACGCCGGAAUAGGGUACGAGGCAUUACUAAAAGACAUACAUUUGCAUACGUAUUAAACCGAGUUACAAAAUUUCAUCCAAAUUAAAACUUUUAAAUUAUUAACGUGCUUUUUUCAUGUUCACAAUUCAAAGCUUCUUACGUAAUUCAAAGCUUCUUUUCCAUUUCAUUCAAUUCAAAAUUUCUCAUGUUCACAAUUCAAAUCAAUUUCUCAAUCCAAUAUAUAUAUUUCAAUCAUCUAAGAAUAUAAUUCAAGUUACACGAACUUACUAGGCUAAAUUGCAGAAAUACCAAAAUUUAGGGAUAUUUUGGUAAUUUUCUAUUUUCCUUGAAUUUCCACCCAAUCUUGAUAUAAAUUAAUAUUUCAUUCAAUUUAUUAAUUUAAAUAAUAAAACAAUUUAUUUCAUGCAAAUUGGUCACUUUUUGACAUUUUUACCAAAUUAUCCUUAAAAUAUUACUUUUAUUCAAUUUAGUCAUUGAACCUAAAACAUGCAAAUUGGUCAUUUUUAAUGAGAACUCAUGCUAGUUGAAUAAUCAUUUAUUUUCCUCCUCCUCCUCUCCAUUCCACAUCCUUAAUGUAUAAUAUGCUUAUAUGUAACAUUAUCUAUAAUUCCACCAUUUAUUUAUAUAUUAAUUCAAAGCUGUCCACUUGAGUCAUAGUCACUAAAUUAUUUAUAUCUUGAGCUACGAAACUCCAAAUUAAGAUCCGCUAAAUUUUUAUGAAAAUAGAAUCACAUAUAUUCUUACCAUAAUAUUUUUAAAAUUUUUUGUUUAUCCAAUAAGUACAAUUUAUUCUUUAAAGUUUCCCCUGUUUCACUGUUUGGCAGUUCCGACCCCUCUUCACUAAAAAUUAAUUAUAUCUUUGUACAGAAUUUGGAUGAUGUUUCCAUUUGUUUCUAUUGAAAAUAAAAUCAUUCAGGAUUUUAAAAAUAUAAAUUUAAUCCUCUAAUUAUUUUUAUUCAAUUUUUGAUGAUUUUCCAAAGUCAGAACAGGGGAACCCGAAUUCAGUCUGACCUUGUCUCACAAAAUUUACUAUAUCUCAUGAUUUACAAUUUCAUUACUUACACAGUUUCUUCUAUGAGAAACUAUACUUAAUAAGAUUUAAUUCCAUAUUUUUUUCAUCCCCUAAUUCGAUUUACACAAUUUAUGGUGAUUUUUCAAAUUUAACCUACUGCUGCUGUACAAAACUAUUUUAGUACAAGAUGUUGAUUACUAAGUUUAUAACUCCCUAAUUCCCUUUCUCUAUAAUAUUUCCCAUCAUUUUCACUUAUUUCCCUUCACUAAUAUAUCAAGAACAUAAGAAUUUAUUUAAUAAAACUCUACUAUAACAUCAUUUCCAUGCUUUUUCAACAAUAACAAACUUAAAAAUAUAUUGAAAUCUUGAUGUUCUUACCUUGUGCUAUUGAUUUCAAUCUUUAACUUAAUUUUCUCUCUCCUCCAACUUCUAUUUCUUGAAUCUAACUUGACAUUCUUGCUCCCCAUUGUCUCCUUACUAUUUUUCUCUCUUGGAAGCUAUGAAAAUUCUUUUGAUUUCUAGGUGAAAAUAGUAAUUUUUUGGUGAAAGGACCAAAUUGUAAAGAAAGCAAAACUUUCUUCUCUUCUCUUCUCUUCUCUUCUCUUCUAACGUUGGUUGCAUGGAAAGAUGAUGAUUUUUUCAUCAUCUUUCCUCCCUUUUAUAUUAAUCAUUUAAUAAUAAAAUAAUACUAAAAAUCUUAAUAAAAUAUUAAUUAAAUAUCAUUUAUCUAAUUAAUUAAUUAAAAAUAUCACAAACAUCAUCAUUACCUUCUAGAAUUCUCUCUCUCUAUUUGACCAUUUUUUCCUUUAUAAUCUUUUGAAAUCCCAUCCUUGAGUCAUCACUUAAUUUGGUAAAAUUACAAUUUAGUCCCUCAAAAUUCUUUACCUUUUCGAUUUGGUCCUAAUUCAUCCCUUUUCCUUAGUUUCUAGAUUAUUCCACCCUUAAAAUAUUUACACUAUUGGUCCCUCAAUUUUUUUGUAUUUACAUUUUAACCCCUCAAAAUUUGAGUAUUUACUCUUGGGCAACAAAACUUUUCUCACUUUUGCAAUUUAAUCCUUUCUUGAAUUAAUAUGUCAUAAUAUACUUCCCAAUGUUGACAUAACUCAAUAUUACCCUUUUUAUCACUUUAUUUCCUUAUUUUACUAUAUCAAGGAUAUUAUCUUACUUUCUUAUUGUAGCAAUUUUCAGGGUAUUACAAUUUACAUAUCAAAUAAUAUAAUUUAAUAGCCAUUCUAAUGACUAAUUUCAACCAACUUUAAAUUGUCAUCAAUGGUAACAUUUAACCUAUACAUGCCAUUAUUACCAAAAUUAGUUUACUAUUUAUAUAUAUACCGAAAAGUCUAGGGGAUAGUGUGAUAUAGCUCCGACCACCUUCUAACCUUUACGAGCCCCCAAGUACUAUAAAAUAGAGGAAAUAAGACAGAGUAAGCACUUAAUGCUUUGUAAGUUCGUACAAUAGGAAAUUAACUUACCAUUCAUUCACUUAUAUAAUAAACAGGCAUAAUACAUCCAAAGCAAUUUGACAAUUAGCCUAACACAUAUAACCUCAACAAACAUGUUAGUCAUGUAUUUCAUGUGAAUAACAAGAACAAGGAUGAGCUCAUCAGGUAUCGAGUUUUCACGUAUUUCAUGCAUAUACAAAUAAUAGUUUCAUUUUGAUUUCACAUGUUCUCAUGUCAGAAUUUCACCCGUUCAAUCAGUUGAAAUCUCGAUGGAUACUUAGGUAGUACACCUGAAGUGUAUAAUACUAUAAAUCCGUCAAUUCAUAUUUGGGGGUGCUUUUAUGAGCACUUAAAUAGAAAGCUCUCUCUUAAGAACUAUAACAGGAAGCUCAUUGAUCCUUGUAAUGGUAAGCUUAUUCAGGCAAUAUAACGGGAAGCUCACAAAGAGCCUAUAACGGGUAGCUCCAAAAAGUAAUUAACGGGUAGCUCCGAAUAACAAUUAACGGGAAGCACCGGAUAGCCAUAUAAAGGGAAGUUCAAGCCAGCACUAAUGGGAAUCUCACAAAGAGUCUUUAAUCGGGAAGCUCACGAAGAGUCAGAUAACGGGGUGCUCAUAAGAGCUUCGGUGUGCCCACAACACAUAUAAGGUCACAACCGAUCGGGAUGCUCUGAAGAGUAUUUACUGAAAAGUUUGCAAGAACACUAUAGAGGGAAGCUUGAGAGGGCUUGUAACGGGACACUCUUUCGAGCUACGAUACGUCUACAACAUAUGCCGAAACACUACCAUUUCGGGAAACAGAACCCCGUAUCCAUCGAAUCUCAGUAUCCAAACAGUACUUAUUUCUUUAUCAAGAAUUUUCAGUUAUGAGAUCAAUUACAUACACAUAUAUGAAAUUUACACAAUUUACAUAUUCAACACUCAAUAUAAGCAUAUAAAUGUACACAAUUAAGUUACACGAACUUACCUCGACAAUUGUUCGUGACUUGUAAAAUACUAAUCCGAUACUUUUUUCUUUUCCACAAUCUAACUCUGCUUUUCAUCUAUCCAGAUCUAUUCAAGUGAUUUUAACAUCAAUUUAAAACAAUUUACAUUCCAUUCAAUCCAAGUCACAAUAUAGGUAAAAAUAUCGUUUUCUCAUAUACUUUUAAUUAAUGACGAUUUCAUCCCUAAGCUCGAAAAAUGAAAUUCAUGCAAUUUAAAUCCUUAUCCCAAGCCUAAAUAUUUUCAUAUAAAUAUAUUAAUAGUAGCCCAUGAAUUCCAUGAAAUUUUAUAAUUUUUCAUGAAUUCAACAACUUUUCAAUGUAAUCCCUCAAUCAUGAUUUCAUCCAAAAUCCUUUAAUAAAAUACCUUUAAAUAUCCAUAAACAUCUCAAUUUCAUCAUCUAAUAACUAAAAUUAUAUAAAAUUAUCAAUGGUAUCUUCCAAAACUUUCAAUAAAAUCAAAAACUAAUGAAAUGGUUAGUUAGACCUAAUUGUAAAAGUCCCAAAACAUAAAAAUUUCAAGGAAAGAGCAAGAAUUAAAUGUACAUGAAGAAAAUAUUGAUAAACCAGAUUAAACCCUCUUCAAUGGAUGUUUUAGAACUGAAAAAUGAUGAUGAAAAUGUCUAGAAUUUCAAUUUCCCUUUUAUUUGACUUAAAUUUGGAAAAAUUUACAAUUUUGCCCUUAUUUCACAUCAAUUCCUUGAUUUUUCUAUGCUUAUGCUGACUCAGCCAUCCCAUGUGGGUCCAAUUUCCCUUUUAGUUCUCCUUUAUUUACUAUUUAGGCUAUUCAAUCAUUAUUUCUUUAAUUAGCAUGUUUUGCACAUUUUUUAAUUUAGUCUUUUUUAAUGAAUUAACUACCAAAACGUUAAAAUUUUCUAACGAAACUUUAAUACUACCUUAAUUAUGCUCCGUUAAUAUUUAUAAAAAUAUUUACGUCUCGUUUUAUAGGACCGAAAUGUCGAUACCUCUUUUCUAAGUCACUUAACCUAAUAAAGCCUUAUAAAACACAAAUUACUAAUUCAAAAAUCUUUUAAAAACAAGAUUUUGCUUGUAAAUAUUAAAUAAUAAAAAUUUACGAGCUUAUUUGUCAGAUUUGGUGGUCUCAAACCACCAUUUCUGACAUAAUUAAAAAUCGGGAUGUUACAGCGAUACCCAAGGGAUAUAAUGAUACCAUUGAAGGGAAUCAUUGGUCUUCUAUACUGUCUGGUAUGUUGCAAUUCCAAGGGUCGUAUAUCAUGAUACCUAUGGCCUUGGUGUCAUUCUUGCUCGUUUUCAACCCUUGACACAUCCUUACAGCACUCAAACACACGUUAGGCCUCCAAAUGGUAUUAACAACCAAUUUGGGUAAAAAAAAGAAGAAGACAAAAUUGAGACAUUUUCACUUAUUAUCCGAAAAUAUGAAAAUAAUGAAAAUAACAAAAAAUUAUACCAAAAAAAAUCUAUUUUGCUCGAGAAAAAGCUACUUAAACGUGUUGAAAAAGUCUAAUUUGCCACGUCGAUUUGUGGCAAAUCACAACCUUACUGGAAAGAAACUAUCUCCAUGGCUAUGAAAUAGAAUAACGUGAGCUUCUCAUAUUAGAAUCAUUAUAACAAAACAACCCUUAGGAUGACACUUCUGGGUCGAUAAUUUCCUAAGUGUUGGGAUAGACUUGCUAAUAUAUGCUUUGACCAACUCUUUGUAUAAGGGUUAGGAUAUGCAUGCCUAAGGCAACACUUAAAUAAGAGUCGGCUUUGUCCAUCACUAUACCGACACUUUGGGGCUUACAGUUUCCUAAGUGUUGAGAUCAACUUGCCGACAUACGCUUUGGCCAGCUCAUUGUAUAAUGGUUGGGAUAUGCAUGCCUAAGGCAACACUUAAAUAUGAGUCGACUUUGUCCAACACUAUGCCGUGUUUUGCUAUACAUUUCCUAACUAUAUAAAAGUGUCGCCAUAUGAAAAGCUUAAUAUGACUCUUUUUGGCAUAUGCUGACCCCUUUUUUUGUCAUUUAAAUUUGUUCUUUUAAGCAACUUUUUUGGGCGUUGGCAAAAUCUAAUCAUAUCCUAACUUUUUAAGAAGAGUUGGGAAAAUGUUAACCUAUCCCAACUUUUACUUUUAGUAGGAAAAUGUUUUAUCUAACCUAACUUUUUUUUUUGUUCCCUUUAUCUGCUUGUGAUUUAUCCCAAACUUUUUUUUUCAUCAGAAAAUAUUUGGCUUAGCCCAACCUUUUGUUUUGUUGUCUUUGUCUACUUUCAAUCUUCAGCAACAUUUUGUUGCUUUACUAUUGGAUGUUGUCAAUUAUGUUUUCAUACUCACAUUAUUUAUUAUCGUUUUGCCAUCAUUUAUGAAUAUUAUCAAAUGAGUGGCCAACUUUUGAGUCUAGUGAGUGUCUCACCCAUCCUCUUUCCCAAUUCUCAAUUUUCAUAGGCACCACAAAGAUAACUAAAAUGGUGAGCAUAUAAAAGAUAUAUAUACCUGUAUUGUUGUUGAGCUAGGUUCUUCUCAACUUCACUGUAACAUGUUUGUUAAACACAUCAUAUUUGUAAGAGGUAAAGUAACAUUUAGCCAUUGAAUUUGUUUUUUUAAUUAGUCUUGAAAUUUAGUAAUUUUUCACAAUUUAAUAUUUAAAUUUGAAUUUUGUUAAGGUAUGAUGACAUGAAACUUUAAUAUUUUGCUUGUCAUCAAGUAAAAAUUUUAAAAUAUAUAAUCUAAAAAAGAUAAAAAUAAUUAUAUAAAAAAACUAAUAUUAUGCUAUGUCAUCAACUGCAUUCAAGUUUAAGAGCUAAAUUUACUAAAAAAAAGUCUAAAAUUUUGAAAAUAAUAUAAACUAAUAAAAAUUAAAUUGUUUUUCAUUUUAAAAUUAAAUUAUUAUUAAGUCUAAUUAUUUUAUUUUUACUUUCCCCCCAAAUCCUUUUACUUUCCCCCAUUUUCCCCAAAUCAAAAUCCUAUUCCUAUUUUGUAACAUCCCGUUUUUAGUGGUGCCAGAAACGAUGGUUUUGGGACCACAAUUCUGACUAAUGAGUUAUUAUUUUAAUAUUUAUUCAAUGUCUACGUGAUUAUAUUAAGGCCGUGUUAAAAUUUUGUUAAGAAAUUUUGAUGUUUAAAUGGUUAAUUAGGUAAAAAGGACUAAAUUGUAAAAUGUGUAAAAGUUGAAUUCUAUUAGUUAAAAGGGUUAAAUAGCUAUGUAAAGGAAAGCUAAUGGACUUAUAUGGUAAUUAUACAAUUUAAGGAGUUAGUGGACAAAUAUGGACAUGAAUUUGAUGUUUUGUAUUGUUAAUAACCAUUGUUAAAAUGAUAAUUUAAUAAAUAAAUUAAAACAAAAGAAACCAAAAGAUGAUAUCAUCUUUAUUUUUGUCUUUUCCACCAAUAUUGAGGGUAAGAAAAUAACCAUUUUUAAGCUUUAGGGUUCAGUUAAGUGAAAGGCUUUUAUGUAGGUAAUUUUAAUCUCGUUUUUAAUGAUUUUUAUGUUUUGGUGAUUGUAUUAGCUUAAUCUAGCUAGCCCAGGGGUUAAUUUGCAGACUUGUUAAAGACUGAAUGCCUUUCCAUGAAUUUUUUUAAUAUAUUUUGAUGUUAGUUGACAGAUGAUUAACUCUAGUUGUUAGAUAAAUAUAUUUUGUUAAGUGAUUUUUGGUGAAAUUGUAAGUAGGGAUUAAAUUGUUAAUAGUUUAAUCUAUGAGUUUUAUUGUGAAAUGUUGGUAAUAAUGGGUUGUUUCAAGGUCUUUGUAACAUUGGUUAAGUUGUAUUUAGGCUAAAAUGAGUUAUAUUUAAGUUAUGAGCUUAAGGACUAAAUUGUAAAAAUUCAAAUUAUUAGGGGUAAUUUUGGAAUUUUAAAUAAAUAUGAACUAUGGAUUAAAUUGAAUAUGAGAAAUAUUUAAUUAAAUGAAAUUAUUUAUUUAGAUCAAGAUAAACCACAGUCAGACUUAAAUCGAGGAAAAGCUAAAGUUUCGAAUUAGUUCAAAUUCCACUUCUAUGCCCUUAGUUAUCGACGUAAGUUCGUAUGAACUAUGAUUGUUUUAAUGUUAGCUAAAUUGACUAUUUGCUAUGUUGUUUUAAUAUAAAUGAUUUUGAAUAUAAAUGUAUCAAUGCUAUGAUGAAUUGACGGAUAACGAGUUCCAUCUGAACUUUAAAAAUUCUUAGGAUACAAAUGACAUGUCAUUAGGGAUUUCAUGUUUUGGGUACUGGUAUUGAAUGUCCUACCGAUGGCUGAGAUCCUGCAUUUGUUUCGGAUUCUCCACAGCUCAUGUGAAUAGCAUCAUGUAGCUUACAUUUUGACCCACAGCUCGUGUGCGUAGGCCCAUUUCACAGCUCGUGUGAGCAUUAAUGUAAAAGAAAUGUUACGGUUAUAUGGAAAGGCACAGUAUGUGUGAGCAUUCUUGAGUAUUCAAUGUAAUUCUAGACGGUUUAAUGGGUAAGAAAAGUAAAGGAAAUGGUAUGUAUGCAAAUGGAAUGAAUCAUGAUCUUAUGAAAAGGUUGAUGAGUUAAAUGAUGUUUAUACUUAUGGAAAUCUACUUAUCUUAUGGUUGAAUUCAUUUGUAUCAUGAACAAGUGUACUAACUUAUGAGUUUGAUGAUGUUGUAUAGGCUUAUACUAAGCUUAUGAAAUUGAUAAUGAUUUAUGCUUAAUCUAUGAACUGUACCAAUGAAAUGGUAAGUUAUGUUUAAGUUUAUACGAGCUUACCAAGCACUCAUUGCUUACGUAGUUACUUUCAUUUGUAUUAUAGAUUAUUAGAAGCUUGAUUGGUUGGAAGCUCAUCGGAGGCUUAUCACACUAUCCAACAACCAUUUUGGUAGUUUUUGAGUAUUUUUGCCAAGGUUAAUAAUGGCAUGUAUAGGAUCUUUGUAAUGGAUGUUUUGGUAUGUUUAAGCUUUUGAAGUUAUGGUUGAUUUGGUAAACUUUAAUACCUUAUCAAGAUAUGUCAUAUUGGUCAAUUUUAAGUGCUUGUAUAUAAGGUCCUUUUGGAUGUAUGUGAUGGUUUGUGAAUGGUCAUUUGUGGUAUCAUGUAGUGAUUAAAUGAACUAAGUUUGCAUGUUUGGAAAAUGACAAUAUUGACUUGUUAUGGUAAGUGAUGUUUUGGUACAAUUGUGGUGCCUUCGAAUGACAUAUUGGUUAGAUGAAUUAUGGUGUUUGAAAUGGCAUGUUUACGAGUGUUUGAAUGAUGUGUAAAUUACUUGAAUGUGUACCCAAAUGGUAUUGAUGGUUAGGUAUGAAUUGAACUUGAAAUGACUUGAUUUUAGGUAAAUUUUUGGGUUCACACGACUUGGCAACACGACCGUGUGACCCUACUUAAUGAGUUGUACGGGUGAGGAAACGGGUUGGGACACGACCGUGUGUCCCUUUUUUUAAAUGUUACACAGCCUGGCUGUGUCACACGGCCGUGUGACUCCUAUUUUCUAAUUUUUUGUAACUUUUACUUAAAGAUUCUAGUUUUUUAAAAUUAGUCCUGAUUUACUUCUAAGCUAUUUUUAGGAUUUUGAAGGCUCGAUUCAGGGACAAAAUGCGUAUGAUUGAUUGGUUUAUUAUAAGUUCAACUUAUUGAAUGUUAUAAUGUUAAAUGAUUUCUGGUUGAAUGGUAAUGCUUCGUAAUCCUAAUCCGAUGGCGAAGACGGGUUAGGGGUGUUACAUAUUUCCUAAUUCUUAUCCUGAAAUCAAACCCCCGCAAAUCAAAAAUCAAAAGCCCUAAAUCAAACCCUUCAUCCUUCUUCAAUUCUUCCUCAUCAUUUUUUGAGGAGGUUAAGUUUCAGUUUAUCGAAUGAAUUUGUUUAACUUUAGCAAUUGAGAAAUUGGGUGCAAUUUUAACUAGCCCAGCUAAAGAAGAAGAAGAACAAGAAGAAGAAGUUAUGGAUAUACCUUUAGAGGGAAGAGUUAAUUCUUAUAGUACAGUAAAGGCUUCAAUUUGGAUCAAAAUCAAAUUGUUUUUAUUCUUAGAGGACUUUAUGUAUUAGGUUUCAUUUGUUUUCUAGGUUAGGUUUUAAACAUUUUAUUUGUUUAGAUCCUACUAAGUAGAAUUCGUAAACUAUGCUAGGGUUAUUUUAAGACUUUUUAAACCAUUUUUAAGAAUAAAAUCAAAAGAAAUCUUAGGUUUCAUAAUCUAUGGAAUUUGUGAUUUUGCUCCGAAUAAUUGUUGCCCCAUCAUCCUUUGGAUCCAUAAAUAAUAAUAAGAAAAUUCAUUGCAAACAUUGAAAAAGAUGAUACUGCAAUACUAGUGGAUUUUCUGAUGUUUCUUGAAAUCUCUAGUGUUUCAGGUUUUGGGUCCUGUAUAGGGCUAAUCAGGAUGGUCUCGUAGUGUUGGUAAGAAGUUUCUCUUUUCAGUUGUCUUCAUAAUCAGUCUUAUUUAUUGUAACUUUAUUUCAUUCUUAAGUGGAUUUUGUUUCUCGACUUGUAGGAUUGGCAACACCCUUGGGAGGGCCAUGAUGACCAUUCUCAUGGCCAUGGAGACAAGCAUUAGGUAUUGCUUUUCUUUUUAUGUGAUUGCUUAACAUGACUUGCUUAGUUUCCCUUUUGUGUAAUUUUGCAUUUAUGAUAGCCAAGUUUAACACAAGUGAAAGGGGGUCAUUAAUUUGUUGAUGCUUGAAACCUUAAUUUUCAGUAAUUCGAGUUUAUUACUAAACUUCAAGUUGUUACAUAAAGGUAAAUGACCAUAGAUGUGCUUCAAGUCUAGAACUUAAAGGUUUAAUGAUAUGUUUAUAUUGGGUAUAUGAGUAAUGAAAUUUGCAUAUGCAUGCACAAGAAUCAUCAUUAAAACAUGAAUAGAGAAGAGAUAAAUCUCAGACUCAUAUCGACAUUAUUAUGAGAUCUUAGAACCUUUUAAUGGUUAUUUCUUUUGCUCCUUUUUUAUGUGUUUAUUGCCAAUAAAUAUGUGCAUAUAAGUGUGUUCAGCAAGAAUUAAGUAUGACAUGAACAAAACUUGUUCUCCAUUUUAAUGAUCAAUGACAUUGUGUUUAGCUGUAGCUUGAAGAAGCUUAUUUGCUUAUGAGUGCGUGGCACAAAUGCUGUUCUGGAAUUCCUUCUAUUUAUUUUCUUUUGUGUCAAUAAAGUGAUAGUGAAAUGGGAUUGUAAGCAUAAUUUAUUUGUUGUUCUCUUGGUGGGAUUUAUCGAUUUCAUUGUCAACGAUAGUUGAUGGAGUACUCGUACCUAUUAGAUUUGGUUGAUGAAUGCAUAUUCUCUAAGGCUUGAGCAAUUGUUUCUUUGUCAUCUGUGUAGAUGUAAAAAGAGGAGUGGCAAUCGGUCCAAGAGUAAAUCUAGGAGAAAUCACAUUAGAGAUAUUGGCUCUCACUGAAUGGUUGUUGAAUUCAUUUGAUAUAAUUAUCUUAUUGCUUGCAGGCAUAUUCUCCUUGGCUCUACAAUGUACCUUGGGAAUUGUACACAUGUUUGAUGUAUAUAAAGGAAAAGUAUGGGAAUCCAACUAUAAUUUUGUCUGAGAAUGGUAUGAUUUAGUUUAACUUAAUUAAAUUUAGUUUAAUGGCUUAUUUUUGAAUAGGUUGGUAUGGUUUCUGACUUCUUUUACAUUUUUGCAAUGAAUGAAUGAAUUGGUUGGUAUGUUUAAUGGCUUAUUUUCGUUACGAGAUUUGCAGUUACCAAGUGAUGUAAUCGACAACAAGCUGACAACAUAUUGUGCUCAAUGUUAUGAGAUUCGCUCUAGUCUUCCUCUUUGUCUUUUUCCAGUACAUCCCGUUCACUUAUUUGCAAUACUUCCCAUCUCCAUUAAAGAACUCUCUACAGUAUGUUUCUAACAAACUACUUUGGAAACAGCUCCAAAUGGUGUGCUUUAGCACAAGCUAAACAAUAAGUUAAUACAUUGAAAUACAACGUGAAAGAGAUGGAAAGAAGAUUUUAAGUUGAACAGGUAGAAGACAAAAGAAGAUAUGAUAAACUUAAUCAUAGCAUAUUGAAUUGAAGUUGCAGUUUCAGACUGUAUUAGCUUUUAUGUAAUACAACAUCAAUAUCAAUGUCCAUCAUCUUAGAUACUUUUUUAUUUGUUUACUUUUGUACAUUGGGUUGAAUGCUGGUGGUAUACAUUUCGGCUAAAUGUUAGUAUAUUUUAAUUGUUGGAUCGAUUUUUGUAGUGAAUAUUCAACCUUUAUUUUAAUUUUAAUUUUAUAUUUUUAGUUUUAUUUAAAGCUCAAUUUCUAUCAUUAUCACUGUAAAUGUUUAUGAAAAUAUAUUAAUAUUGGAAUAAUAAAAAUAGAAAAAAAAUUACAUUAGAUAUGUCCAUCCCAACAUUUUUAAGGUUGCCUUAGACGGGUCUAUCCCAACCUUUUUAAAAUUUUCUUAGACGGGUCCUUUUUAAGGUUGCCUUAGACGGGUGUAUCCCAACUUUUUUAAGGUUGACUUAAACAAGUCUAUCCCAACCUUUUUAAAGUCACCUUUGACUGGGGCACAAGCCAACAUUUUAAAAGUUGGCAUAUGAAUGCCUUAUUCUAACCUUUUUUUUCAUUGUUUAUUUCCUCCUAUCCCAACCCUUUUUAAAAGUUGCCUUAACUAGGUCUUUGCCAACCCUUCAAUAAAGGUUGGCCUAUAUUGAAUUAUGCCGGGACCUAUGCCAACGGCACAAAAAACGAUGUUUUCGGAAGCGUCGGAAGAAAGGUCAGGAUGACCUAUGCUAACCUAUCGUCCUAAGUAAAAAAAAAGUGUCACAGUAGACCUGUUUUGUUGUAGUGAAUUUAGCAUAAAAUUGGUUUUGGGAAGAAAUUAGAAUUUGCUUUCUUCACUUCAGAGGGAUUCGAAUAUCCAGUCUUACACUUAUUCGCAUGAAUUGCCUGAAACCCCUACUAAGUUGUUUCAUGUAAUAUUCUUCAAAAGAUCCAAUAAAAUUGCCCAACUGUUUUGCUAUCGUUUCUGCAAAAAGCCCUGAAGGUAGAUGAAAAAUAAGAGUGCUCUUUUUACCACUCUCUCAAAGUCUAGCCUAUUAAAGACUUUGAACAUAAAAUGUUUCUCACCCAAAUUUGAGACCUGAAAACCCCCAACAAGUGCCAAAGGUUGGCAAGAGUAUUACACAUAGCCGAAAAGUGUACCAGACUUGUCGUAAAAAAACCCUAACCAAAUAAAAACCAAACAUAAGCUUAUGUUCUUCAUUUGAUCCAUUAAAUUGUCAUGCAUCAUCUUCUUCAUCCCUUAUGUUUAACCCCUCAAAUCCACUCUCCAUAAUCAAAUCAACGCAAAAAUAAAAAUAAAAAAAAUUCAGUAAAAUUAAAAAGCAAAACGCAUAACUAUAGGAAGAACUUUUAAAAUAAGAAUCAUGAGAACCAAAAUGAUCAUAGCUAUUAGAUCAAAAUAAAUGGUUCUAAGUCUUAGAUUUUGUAUUUAUUUUACUUUAUUAAAAUAAAACCAAUACCCAAUUUUUCCUCCUUUCUUUUUUCUUUUCAUUGCAUAAUUGAAAUCUUAGAGUGAAAAAAAAUUGGAUAAUUUUUACUUUCAAUUUUUUUUGAGAAAAAAAUGGAAUGGAAAGUAAGAGAUUAAGGUUAUUAUAAGAUUAAUUAAUUUGUGUAUUAGGUAUUUGUUUUUCUUGAUUGAAAAAAUUAAUCGACCAUUUCAUUCUAAAAAUUUUGGAAUUUUUUCUUGGUUGAUUUCAAGUACUCAUAGAAUUUCAAGUAUAAAAAUUUAAAACUUACCUCACUUUUCUAGUGAAAUGCUUGAAAUAAAUUAAGAAAACAAUCCCAAAAGUUUUAAAAUGAAAUAGUUGAUCAACUUUUUGUUCCAUUUUUUUUUUUGCUCCAUGCAAAAAUUAAAUCUAAAACCAUAAUACUUUAAUUACAUGAAAAAAGAGAUAGAAAAAGAUGGAAUAUUGUUGAUUUUAUUUUAAUAUAAUAGUUUAAAUACAAAAUUUAAAUUUAGAACCACUUAUUUCAAUCUAAUAAUUAAAAUCAACAAAAAUUGUCAUAAUAUUUUUUAUUGUAAGCGGUACAACUAUGGUCCAAUCAAUUAAUUGAUUUAACAUGGUAAUAAUAAAUUACAACUUUAUUUUAUAGAAAUUCGGUUACGAUUAUCACCCACAUAUUAUAAUAAUCAAUGAUGUGAUUUUUAUGACCAUAAUAAUAAUAAUAAUAAUAAUAAUAAUAAUGUGUUUUCCUAGGAAUAUGCCAUUGAAGAUGCCAUGCAGGGAUCAAAAGUUGAUAUGAUAUUUAGAAUAGUGAAUGGGACAGCCAGAUUACUCUAGACUUGGUUACCUUUUUUAUUCAGUUAAUUGGUGUUUAUUGAAAAAAAAUUAAAAUAUUACUAUAAAAUAAAUAGCUAGAGCAGAGUGUAUUUUAUUGAUCAAUUAGGAUAUAUAUAUAACUUUUUCAAAGUCUCUAUCUAUAAACAUAAUAAGUAUAAAUGAAGUAGAGAUCUGAUUCUAAUGACUAAUAGAAUUGAAAGUGUCGAAACCUUUUUUUAUCGACUUUUAUUUUAAAAUAAAAAUAGUCACCACCAAUCCUUUUUAUUAAGUGUGAUUGGAUCAGCUCGUAAUUUAAUCAUUUUAAUAAAAUGUUAGAUUUACUAAAUUGAUAAUUUUCAGUCUACAAAAUCUAGAAAGUGGGUUCGGGAGUCGGUUACGCAUGAGGAAGAUUAACACCCUCAUAACGCUCAAAAUUGGUACCUAGUUGAUUACUUGACUACUUAGUGUUGAGAAUUGAGAAUUCAAAGAAAAUUGGUACCUGGCCGAUUACAAUGAUUACUUGAUUAAAAUAUCGCUAACUAAAAAAAAUUUUAUGGAAAGAGUCUUCUUAUUUUGACUUAAUCGAGAAAAAAAGAUCAUGUCCCGUAAGUUAGGACACGAUAUCUCGAACCCUCGAAAUAAGAUCAUUUGAUUAUUACCUAAGUCCUACGUGUCUUGAAUUUUCAAUAGGAUGUUUGGUUAUUUUGGUUCUAGGAAGAGGCCAUACUUCGUAAGUUAGAAGCACAACUCCUCAAAUCUCGAACAUAAUGAAUAUUUCUUCGGUUUUAAUUAUUUUUAUGCGUUUACGCCGAAAAAUGGAUGAAUGUAUGUAGCAUAAUUUACAAUGCACAAUGAUGGCAAAAUUAUGGUAUUAACAAAAUAAGCAUAAUAUUCAAUAAAAUAAUGACAAUAAAAUAAAAUAAAAUAGCUACAUAGGUACAAACAAAAUAACAUCAAAAUGAAAUAAUAAAAAAUGAAAUAAAAUGAUUGUAGUAAAAGUAAUGAGGGUAAAAUAGUAAAUGACUAUAACAUGAAAAUAAUAAUAGUAACAAUAAUCAUCUCUAAUGACAAAAAAAACUACUCAAGGAUGUAAACAAAUAUGUAAUAUUUAGAGAGGAGAAAAAUAUAAAUAAUCAUAAAAAUAACAGUGUUGGAAAUAAUAAAAUAACAAAUAAAAAAUAAGUAGGCAAAGGACUAAAUUGAAAGCUAAAAGAAAUUCUAAGCAUAAAUUAAAAAACAAAAUAAAAAGUAAACAAAGGAUUAAAUCAAAACAAAAUAAAAAGUAUAGGGACUUAAUUAAAUAAACAGGGGACUAAAUAAAAACUAUAACAUGACUUUAAGAUAUAAAUAAAUAAAAUAAUAAAUAAAUGGUUAGAUUAAAAUAUAAUAAAAAUGCAAGGACCAAAAGGGCAAAUAAGCCAACAUCAAUACACGUGCCACUCUUCAGAGGGUCAACACUCUAAGGACCAAAAUGAAAACAAAUUGAAAUUAAAUAGCAUAAUUUUAAAAAGAAGAAAAACCAAAAUUAGGACCAAAUUGUAAAGCGCCUAAAGGCGGAAGGACUGGAGUGACAAUUUGACCCCUCCUUAAAAAACACUAGGAUCCUAGAGGAUCUGGGUCGAGUCAUCUGGUCAUGUCCAAAACGACAUCGUUUUGGGGCUUCUGAAGCCAGGCCAAAACGACGUCGUUUCAGUAAGCCUAUAUAAGUUAAAAAAAUAUUAAAAAAAAUUCUAAACCUGUUUUUUUUAAUUAUUUCUUUUUCUUUUUCUCUCAAGCUCUCCUUGGUCUGGCCAUGGGAGCCGCCGUAGCUCCGCCAUGGCCGUCGGCCAUCGACGAUCGUCGCCUCUAGUGGCCGAAAAAUCUCCAAAAUACCCCAUUUGUCUCUCUUUUUCACGUAGAACUCCGAUUUAGGGUUAAAAUCCCUAAAAGUUUAAUCAAAAUUCAACAAAAACAAGAGAAACCUUUCGGUUUCUUCCCCUUUUCUGAUGCGAGCUUAGCGAAUCCCUAGGGAUUCGGAAGCCUUUCACACCAAAAAGGAACACUAACGGUGGUGCAAGUAAACAAAAAAAAAGUCUUUCGUUUCUUUUAUAUAUAUAUAUAUGUAUGUUUUUCAAAAAAAAAAGUAAAUGGGACAACUUUUCUUUUAAACUUUUUUUUGUAUUCUAUUUCCUCUGUAAAAAUUACAAAGAGUUUUUGUUCGGCUUUUAUAGCCAAAUCAAUUACAAAAUAUUGUUUUUCUUUGUUUUUGUUCUUAAAUUGCUUCUUUGUUUUGCCAUCUGUUCUCUGCUCUUUUUUUGCAGGUAUUCGUGGCCAGGUCAAAGGUGAUGGGAAGCCACGCUUUGCCAUUUCGGUGAAAUGGUGGCAGAGGAGGCUUGCUUGCUGACAUGACAAGCAGCGGCUAAAAGGGCUAAGGGGAAAUUAGGGUUUCUGAUGUGUUUAAGAUAGUGGGCUUUGAGCUUAGGUUUUUUUAGAUUUUAGGGUUUUUUGUAUUUGGGCCAUUAUUUUUGUAAAUAGACUUUAAUAAUGGAUUUUUUUAUUAUUUUUAUUUAUUUAUUUAUUUGUUUUUGUUGGGCCAAAUGAAAUUGGGCCUCUAGAGUUGUCCCUCUUUGCUCAUAUUCGUGUAACGGAAAAGGAGCAAAGACCUUUACAGAGGAAAAAUUUUGUUCGGUCUUGCUGAAUCUUGACUUCUCAGGUGCUUCUCUUUUUCAAAUGACUCACUCUUUCAGUUCCUUAGUUACCCUACAUUACUGUAUCCGCUUUGCUACAAAUUUAGGAAGGCAGGAUUUAGUAUCACUGCUUCAUCUUGCUCUAUUGCAACUUCAAAUAGAUAAGAUUUAUUGUUGAAAUUUCAAUCCAUUCCACUACAAUUUUAGGGAUAUAAAAUUUGUAGCUUCAUCUUGCUCCACUGCUACUUCAGGGAGAGAAGAUCCACCAUUUUAGUUUUAAUCUGACCCACUGCAACUUUAGGGAGAUAAGAUUAGCUAUGGUAGUUUAAAUCCAACCCACUACAACUCCAGGGGUAUAGGAUUUGUAGCUUCAUCUUACUCUACUGCAACUUUAAAGAGAUGAGAUUUGUUGUUGUAGUUUUAAUCCAUUCCACUGCAAUUUUAGGGAUAUAAGUUUUGUAGCUUCAUCUUGCUCCACUGUAACUUCAGGGAGAUAAGAUCCACCAUUGUAGUUUCAAUCUGACCCACUGCAACUUCAGGGGUAUAGGAUUUGUAGUUUCAUCUUGCUUCACUGUAACUUCAAGGAGAUAAGAUUCACUAUGGUAGCUUCAAUCUGACCCACUGCAACUCUAGGGGUAUAGGAUUUGUAGCUUCAUCUUACUUCACUACAACUUCAAGGAGAUAAGAUCCACUAUUGUAAUGUCAAUCCGACCCACUGCAACUUCAAGGGUAUAGGGUUUGUAGUUUCAUCUUACUCCGCUGCAACUUUAGGGAGAUAAGAUUCGCUAUGGUAGCUUCAAUCCGGCCCACUGCAACUUUAGGGGUAUAGGAUUUCUAGCUUCAUCUUGCUCCACUACAACUUUAGGGAGAUAAGAUCCACCAUUCUGGUUUCAAUCUGAACCACUACAACUUUGGGGGUAUAAGAUUUAUUGCUUCAUCUUGCUCCACUGCAACUUCAAGGGGAUAAGAUCUGCCAUUGUAGUUUCAAUUUGACCCAUUGCAACUUUAAGGGUAUAGGAUUUAUAGUUUCAUCUUGCUCCACUACAACUUUAAGGAGAUAAGAUAUGCCAUUGUAGUUUCAAUCUGACCCACUACAACUUCAGGAGUAUAGGGUUUGUGGUUUCAUUGAUCUGUUACACCGCUUUUUGGGAAUAAAACCUGUAGAAUCCAUUUCAUUGGCCUAUAUUUUAUGCCAAGCGAUUAGGAUAUUAUCAUCAGAAUGAAUCAAAUCCUCCUAAAUAGAUGUAUAUAAAUGAUAUUUGUAUGAAUGCAAAAUGUCAUUUUCGAAAAUGGUCCCCUUUUUAGUGCUUAGGAUGACAUUAGUCGUUGUUAGUCAAGGUUCUAUCACUAACGUGUUACCAUGCCCUCUUGUUCAGGUCUGGUUUCUUUGACAAGAAACCCGAAGAGGUAAUCACAAUCUGAACUAUUCGUUCCAAGAUCUUUUCAAUCUUCAAAUUUGAUUAGUUCUAAAUAGUGGUCCUAUUUCAGGUCCCUAUACUAUUUAGAAUUCUUUCAGAGCAAUAUGCAGAAAUCCUUUUGUACUUUAACAUUGUGAGUCCACUAACCGUUAUUUCAAUACAAAGUGCUUAAACAAGGUCUUAAAAAAAUGGAUAAGAUUGAAAUUUAUCGGGAGCAAAGCCAUUAAUGAAAAGAUUAAUCAAAGUGACAACCAUUGUAAAAACACAAAGUGGGUGAAAAUGAAACUAGUUUCCCUAGAUAUUGUAGUAUGAAUUUCUCUGAGCAAACCUACUGAAGUCAAUCCCAAGCCAGAUAUAUGUUUGGGAGAUCUAAAGUACCUUGUUGAUGCCCCAAGAUGUAAAGUUUCUCCUCCUUAUUACCUUUGCGGGGAAACGACUAUUACAUGCCCAUUCUUUGAUCAAAAUUUGAGCCACCUUUUUCGGGUUUUCAACUCAAAAUUCAUUUGGUCUUAAGACGCCCUUUGCGGGUUUUCACCUUGGCCUCUCAUUUUUUUCCUAUUUUUAGGUGAAAUACCUCUUGAUUGAAUCUGAAUUCACAGGGUAGGGCAAAUUUUUGCCAUCCAUUUCGGUCAAAAUCAAUGCUGCUCCAUAAAAGACUUUUUUCACCACAUAAUGUCUUUCCCAAUUCAACAUACAUUUUCCUCUGAAGUCCUUUUGUAUAGGAAGGAUCCUUUUCAACACCAAGUCCCGCUCUUGGAACUCUCUGGGGCAGACCUUUUUGUCAUAAGCUCACAUCAUUCAUUUUUGGUACAUCUAACCAUGACGGAUUACUUUUAGUCUAUUCUCUUCGAUCAAGUUCAACUGAUCAUAUCGAGAUUGGAUCCAUUAUUUUUCAUCUAAUUUUAACUCUGACAAAACUCGAAGAGAAGGAAUCUCGAGUUUGUUAGGAAAUACUGCCUCCAUUCUAUAAACUAAUGAGAAAGGCGUUGCCGCAAUGAAGGUUCUGACAGACGUUCGAUAAGCAUAAAGGGCAAAUGGUAACUUCUAAUGUCAAUUUUUAUAAGUUUCUAUCAUUUUCCCCACGAUCUUCUUAAUGUUCUUAUUGGCUACCUCUACUGCACCAUUCAUUUUUGGACAAUAUGGUGAAGAGUUGUGAUGUUUGAUCUUGAAUUGACUACAGACCUCCGUUACCUUAUUUUUGUUCAAAUUUAAUACAUUAUCAAAUAUGAUCUUUUCUUGUAUUCCAUAUCGACAUAUAAUCUCUUUCUUUAAGAAUUUGCUAACUGUCGACUUUGUGACACUAGCAUAAAAAGCAGCUUCUACCCAUUUGGUGAAGUAAUCGAUGACCACAAAGAUGAAUCGAUGCCCAUUAGAAGCUUUUGGCAAUAUCAGCCUAAUAACAUCCAUGCCCCACAUAGAAAAAAAGGUUAUAGAGAAGUCAUAACAUGAAGAGGUGAGGGAGGCACAUGAAUUUUGUCUCCAUAAAUUUAGCAUUUAUGACACCUCUUAGCAUAAUUAAUACAAUCCCCUUCUAUGGUGGACCAAUGAUAUCUAAAUAUCAUGUUUUUCCUGACCAUUGUAAAACCAUUACAUGUGUUCUACAAACACCCUCAUGGACUUCUUCAGAGAUUUUCUUGGCCUCAACAGCAUCUACACAUCUUAGUAACACUUGAUCCUUUCUUCUUUUGUAUAGGAUCUCCCUAUCUAAGACAUACUUAUUGGCAUGUCUCCUAGCGUCCUUUUAUCAUUUUUGGUUGCCUGCCUAGGGUAUUCACGGUUCUUUACAUAUUACAGUAUAUCGUGGUGCCAAGGGUGAUCAUCUUUUUCUUCUUCCCCGAUAUUGUAACAAUGGGUCAGAUCCUCAUAAAUACUUAUCUGGAUAGGUUUUACAUUAUAUUGUUUGUUCACUUUAACCAUAGAAGCUAAGGUAGCCAAGGCAUCGGCCAUCUGAUUUUCAUCUUGCGGGAGGUAGCAGAAGGUGAUGUCAUCAAACUCCUUAAUUAACUCAAGGACUAACCUUCGAUAAUUGAUCAACUUGGGAUCUCUCGUCUCCCAUUCACCUUUGAGUUGAUAGAUCACUAGUGCAGAAUCCUCAUAUAUUUCCAACACCAUAAUUUUGUGUUCUAUAGUUGCACAAAUACCAAUGAUGCAUGCUUCGUAUUCUGUCAUACUAUUUAUACAAUUAAAGUCAAGUUUACUGGUGAAAUUAUAAUGUUCUCCGUUUAGGGAUACCAAGACUGCCUCAAUUCUUUUACCCAUAACAUUUGAGGCUCCGUCAAAAUUUAGUUUCUAAGGAUAUUCUUCUGGAGCACUUUCUUCAGUGGUUACAACAUACAUCAGAUCAUCGUUUGGGAAAUCGAAAUUUAAAUGCUCGUAAUUCUCUAGAGCUCUGCUAGCUAAAAAAUCUGCUAUUGCACUCCCAUUUACCGCCUUCUAGUUUACAUACAUUACAUCAAAUUCGGAGAGCAGAAUUUUCCAUCGAGUCAUUCUUCCAUUCAACGCAGUUGACUCCAUCAUGUACUUUAAAGGAUCCAUCUUCAAGAUAAGCCAAGUCAUAUGGUACAACAUGUAUUGUCUCAGCCUCCGGGUAGUCCAGAUUAAGGCGCAGCACAACUUCUCAAUUGGCGAAUAAAUUGUCUCGUAUUCAGAAACUUCUUGCUUAGGCACUAAAUUGCUCUUUCUUUCCUCCCUGACUCAUUAUGUUGGCCAAGUACGCAUCCCAUAGAAUUUUUAAAUACUGCCAAGUACAGUAUCAGUGGUUUAUCUGGGCUAGGUGGCAUUAACACUGAGACAUUGGACAUGUAAUGUUUGACCUUGUCGAAGGUCUUUUCGCAUUUCUCAUCCCAUACACUUGGGUUAUGUUUCUUAAGGAGACGGAAUAUGGGGUUACACUUCUCAGUUAGUUGUGAAAUGAACUGGGCAAUGUAAUUUAAUCUCCCUAAGAAACCCCAAACCUCUUUUUGGGUACGUGAAAAUUGUAACCCCUGUAUAGCCUUAUCUUUAUUUGGGUCAAUCUCGAUCCCUUUCUCGCUAACUAUAAAUCCUAACAGUUUACCCAACAUGGCCCUGAAAGUGUAUUUUGCUGAAUUCAAUUUUAGUUGGAAUUUUCUCAGUCUCAAAAACAGUUUCCUCAAUACUUUCAUAUGCUCCUUUUCUGUUCAAUAUUUUGCAAUCAUAUCAUUGACAUAAACCUCGAUUUCUUUUUGCAUCAUAUCAUGAAACAAAGUUACGAUGGCUAUUUGAAAUGUUACUCCCAUAUUUUUAGUCCGAAUGACAUCACUUUAUAACAAAAUGUUUCUCAGGUUGUUAUGCAUCAUAUUAUGAAUGUGGUUAUAUCUGGAGAAACCAUUCAUGAAGGAAAACAAUGAAUGAUCUAUCGUGUUGUCUACUACAGUAUCGAUGUGGGGCAACAGGAAAUUGUCCUUCGAGCUGGCCUUGUUUAAACCCCUUUAAUAAACACACAUUCAUACUUUCUCAUCUUUCUUAAGGAUGGGGACUAUAUUGGCUAUCCACUCCGAAUAUUUGGCCACUUGUAGGAAAGCAACGUCAAUUUGUUUCUUAAGCUCUUUUUUAUUUUCAAUAGUACACCUGGCCUCAUCCUUCGAAGUUUCUGUUGAAUCGACUUGCAUUUUUCCUUUAUGGAAAGUCGAUGUACCACAAGAUCUGUACUUAAACCAGGCAUGUCUUGACACGACCAUGCGAAGACAUCUUUGAAUUCUUUGAGUAACUUACCGAGGUCUUGCCUUGUCUCUGCAGUGAUGCAAGUUUCGAUUUUCACUUCUUUCUUUUAUGGGUCAUCCCUUAAGCUCACAACUUCUACUAACUCUUUGUGAGGUAGAAUAUGUUUCUCAUCUUGCUCUACUAUCAUUAACAAAUCAGGAGACAAGUUACAAUCUCAAUCAUCUUCAAAGUCAUGAGGUUCAUUUAGACACAUAUCCUACUCGAAAGGAGACUCUAAGUUAAUAGCAACGUUACUCAUAUCAUUGAUACUCAGAGACCUGUUAUAUGAAUAAAAGGAGACCCAAGGAACAAAUGAAUUUAAGAAAGAUUAAAUGUGUGGUAUGAGUAUGAGAAAAAAAGAGAAAAAAAAGUAGAAUAUUUUUCAAUGGGACAUAAAAAUGCAUUGUUUUCAUUGAAAUAAAGGUAAUGGAUAUGCGCCUUUUUCACAAAAGGAUCAUUAUUGUUCUCAGGCUUAAAGCAAUAGGUAUGUUUUGAAUAUUACUCUGAAAUGAUCCUAAAAAAUACAGGGAUUUCCUGUACAGUCUAGUUGUUUAGAACACUUCCGAGGAUGUGGAAACAAAUUCAUAAUAAUUUUUUUAGUUCAUUCUUCAGAUGCAUAAACAUCUUUCCCUUCCAAACCCUUAAUAUCUUCAAAUAAUUCCAACUUUUUAUUAUCCAUCAGGCUCUAUACUAGAGUUCUGAACUCGAUGCACUUUUGGAUUUUAUAAAUUCAUUGCAUGCAAUGAAAUGUAAUGUUAAUGAAUGGAAAAGAUGCAUGCAAAAAGGCGUUGAUCCUAGUUCAAUUCCAUUAGAACAACUUUACUAGAAAUCGAGUUUCUUUACAUAAAACUGAUACUUCCACUUUAUCAAGAAACCCCUUUUCCAUGACAAACUCUCUAUUUAGCAACCGAACACGAAUCAACACCCUUUUUUAAAGAUGAAAAUACAACGCAGCCACAGCCAGAACAAAGAGAAACAAGUCAGUACAUAUUGUAUAAAACUUGAAUAUAAAGCAAAAAAUAAUAAAUAAAGCAUCUCUUCUUUGUAAUCUAUUCGGGUGACCUCUAAAAGUUCUAUAUGGUACUACCUAGGGUAGGCUCUUAGGGCUCAUUACAUGCGGUUUGGUUCUAAAGUAAGGGUACCUAAACCAGCAGAUUCCUCAACCCUCACCCAUUAUAGGCUCAUACAGACAAAGUUCAUUUCGGGGGAAUACAUUUCCCUAUGUCUAUAUGGAGGCAAAUACCUUACGAAGAUAUAGGUACGAAUGUAUCUCGAAAGCGAUCCACUAUCCUAUACGGAGGUGAAGACCUAAUGAAGGAAUAGCUUCCCACUCUCACUUAAGAAAAGGUAAAAUGGAACGAUUAUGCAAUGCAAUAUAUGUGAAAACAUACAAAGAGAAACUCUUGAACCAAUAAAACAGAUGUAUUAGAUCGCUAUGUAACUCGAGAUAACAAAGACAUUUUUUACCACCAAAACAAACAUGAAGGAUGAAAUACAAGGAUGGGAUCGUCAAUUUAAACCAACUUAUCAAUUUUCGACAAAAAGACCAAAAAGUAAUCAACUCGCGGUUUGAAUCUCUUAUUUUGUCCUCAGUGGAGUCGUCAAGCUGUCGAAACAUUUUUUCUUUUUUGUGAUCGACUUUUAUUUUAAAAUAAAAAUAGAGUCACCACCAAUCUUUUUUAUUAGGUGUGAUCGGAUCACCUCGUAAUUUGAUCAUUUUAAUAAAAUGUUAGAUUUACUAAAAUGAUGAUUUUCAGUCUCCAAAAUCCAACAAGUGAGUUCAAGAGUCGUUUACGCAUGAGGAAGGAUUAGCACUCUCAUAAUCCCAAAAUUGAUACCUAGUUGACUACUUGAUUACUUAGUGUCAAGAUUUGAGAAUUCAAAGAAAAUUGAAAAUACGAUCCCUUUUUUUUGCAUGAUGUUAUUUGAUUAAAAUAUCGUUAACUAAAUUAAAUUUUAUGGAAAUAGCCUUCUUAUUUUGAGUUAAUCGAGAAAAAAAGAUCAUGUCUCAUAAGUUAGGGCACGAUAUCUCGAAUCCUCAAAAAUAAUAAUACUCAUCAUUUGAUUAUUACCUAAGUCCUACGUGUCUUGAAUUUUAAAUAGGAUGUUUGGUUAUUUCGGUUCUAGGAAAAGGCUACACUUCAUAAGUUAGGAGCACGACUCAUCGAAUCUCGAAAAUAAUGAACAUUGCCUCAGUUUUAAUUAUUUUUAUGUGUUUACACCAAAAAAUGGAUGAAUGUAUGUAGCAUAGUUUACAAUGUACGAUGAUGGCAAAAUUAUGGUAUUAACAAAAUAAGCAUAAUAUUCAAUAAAAUAAUGACAAAAAAAAUAAAAUAAAAUAGCUACAUAGGUACAAACAAAAUAACAUCACAAUGGAAUAAUAAAAAAGAAAAUAAAAUGAUUGUAGUAAAAGUAAUGAAGGUAAAAUAUUAAAUGACUAUAACUUGAUAAUAAUAAUGGUAAUAAUAAUCAUAUCUAAUGACAAAAAAUAAAAUAAAAUAAAAUAAAACUACUCGAGGAUGUAAAUAAAAUUGCAAUAUUUAGAGAGGGGCAAAAAUAUAAAUAUUCAUUAAAAUAAAAGUGUUGGAAAUAAUAAAAUAACAAAUAAAAAAUAAGUAGGCAAAGGACUAAAUGGAAAGCUAAAAGAAAUUCUAAGCAUAAAUUAAAAAAAACAAAGGAUUAAAUCAAAAUAAAAUAAAAAGUACAGGGGCUUAAUUAAAUAAACAGGGGACUAAAUAAAAACUAUAACAAGAUUUUAAGGUAUAAAUAAAAUAAUAAAUAAAGGGUUAGAUUAAAAUAUAAUAAAAUGUAGCGACUAAAAGGGAAAAUAAGCCAACCGUAAUACACGUGUCAUUCCUCAGAGGGUCGACAGUCUGAGGACCAAAAUAAAAACAAAUCAAAAUUAAAUGACAUAAUUUUAAAAAGAAGAAAAACCAAAAUUAGGAUCAAACUGAAAGCGCCUCAAGGUGGAAGGACUUGGGCGGCAAUUUGACCUCUCCUUCAAAAACACCCGGAUCUUAGAGGAUCUGGGUCGGGUCAUCAGGUCAUGUCCAAAAUGAUGUCGUUUUAGGGUUCUGAAGUUAGGCCAAAACGACGUCGUUUCAGUAAGCCUAUAUAAGUUAAAAAAUAUUUUUUUUUAAAAAAAAAAAGCAUUCUAAACCUGUUUCAUUUUUAAAUUCUUUUUUUUUCUUUUUCUCUCAUGCUCUCCUUGGUUCAGCCAUGGGAGUUGCCAUAGCUCCACCGCGGCCACUGGUCAUCGGCGACUGCUACCUUUGGUGGCCGAAAAAUAUCCAAAAUACCCCAUUUGUCUCCUUUUUCCAUGUAGAACUCCAAUUUGGGAUUAAAAUCCCUAAAAGUUUAGUCAAAAUUCAACAAAAACAAGAGAAACCUUUCGGUUUCUUCCCCCUUUCCAACGCGACCUUAGGUGAAUCCCUAGAGAUUUGGAAGCCUUUCAAGCUAGAAGGGAACACCGAUGGUGAUGUAGGUAAACAAAAAAAAAAUUCGUUUCUUUUUUAUAUAUAUGUGUAUGUUUUUCAAAAAAAAAAAGAGUAAAUGGGACAACUUUUUUUUUAACUUCUAUUUUUUUUUUUGUAUUCUAGUUCUUUCGUAAAAAUUAUAAAGAGUUUUUGUGUGGCUUUUAUAGCCAAAUCAAUUACAAAAUAUUGUUUUUCUUUCUUUGUUUUUUUUCUUUUGUUGCUUCUCUGUUCUGUCCUUUGUUCUCUGCUUUAGUUUUUUUUUCUUUUUUGCAGGUAUUUGUGGCCAAGUCAAAGGCGAUGGGAAGCCACGCUUUGCCAUUUUGGUGAAAUGGUGGCAGAGGAGGCGUGCUUGCUGACAUGACAGAGGCGGCGGCUAGAAAGGCUAAGGGGAAACUAGGGUUUCUGAUGUGUUUAGGAUAGUGGGGUUUGGGAUUAAGUUUUUUUGGAUUUUAGGGUUUUUCUUGUAUUUGGGCAUUAUUUUUGUAAAUAGACUUUAAUAAUAAUUUUAUUAUUAUUUUUAUUUAUUUGUUUGUUUUUAUUGGGCUGGACGAAAUUAGGCCUCUACAUAAAGUACAUAAAAACUUAUAUUGAUCUUGAUGGACAUAUACUUAAUAAGAUAUUCAUAAUAAGUAUGAAUUACUCUAUUCUUUUUUAUAAAAAUAACAUCACAAUUUACAAUAAGUAAUAUCAUUCAAUGAUCUUUUAAAACGUUAUAAGUAAAAUUAUGAUAAUACAUUGAUUACAAUCACAAUUAAUUAUUUUAAUGUAUAAUAAAUUGAUAAUUAGAAUAUAUUUGAAUUUAAAUAAAAAUAAACCUAACUUUCUCACAAGCUUCCUAAAUGCAAAAUGCAGAGAUUUAUUCUAUCCUUGAGAUUAAUAUGUAGAAAGCCCGGAGGAAAAUAACAUUGUCAACUGUCUUUAAUUUCUCAUAAUUUUAUUAGCCUUGUGUACGAAGAAUGAAUGAAAGAUGAAUUGGUUUUUAAAAAUGCUUUUUCUCUAUUACAAAGUUGAUUGGAACUAUCUUUGGUUUAUACUGAUCAAAUUGAAUAUUGAUGAGAAGUGAGUAAAUUGGAUAAUAAAUUACAUUUAUCUCAUUUAAUGUUAAUGAAGUUCAAAGUGUGGAGUUAAGUAAGAGGACCGUUUUUGUUCUUUGUACAGAAGGUCUUAAGCAGUUACAUGGCAUCUCUAUUUGCCGAGGUAAUUCAUCUAUUUCUCAUUUACCUAUGUCUUUUUCAGAGCUUUGAAUUUAAAAUGUCAAGUGGUGAAACAUAUUCUUGUUACCUUUAGUUCAAGAUAAUCAUAAUUUGUGUACAAUAUUAAAAAAAAAGGAAAAAAGGAAAACUUAAUCAACGCAUGCUAAAAAAUAUGGAGUGGUGAACAAAAAAAACGUAACAUCCAAAUAAUUAAAAUAUAAUAAAGAAAAUUAACAACAAGUUUAAUAACAAUAAAGCAAUUUUAAAUAAAAACAUAAUAAAAAUAUUUAUUUUAAUUACUAAAUUUUGAAAAUAUUUAUUUUAAAAUAACAUAAUAACAUAAAUAUUUAUUUUAUUAACAAAUAAAAUAAUCAAAUGAAUACUUGAAAUAGAUAUUCAACCAAAAAAAAAGGGAAAACAUCACUCAUUUAAUCCCAAAACCAAUUAGAAUAUCAGGAAAAAAAAAACUCAAAUUUGGAACUAUGAAAAAAGAAAACCCCAAAUCUAUAACGACUUUCUUUGCUUACAAGAAACUACAACAAUGGGAUCUAACAACCAACCCUUCAAUCCUUCAAAAUACCAAAACCUUAAACCCUAUGGGUGCAAAAAAUGAUUCGGCAAAGGGCCAAAUAUCGACCACCAUGGCUGUAAUAGUCAACCCAUCAAAAACAGGAAACCUAAUAUUUCAGAUUUUUAAGGUCAGUAUUUUUGAAACCCAUUUGAGAGAUCUAAGCUAUGAAGAAGUUCAUCAUACCAAGGAGAAGUCAUGGUUGAAGUUGCAAGAUGGUUCAACAAUCAUAUCUUUAGAUCAACGUUAGAGAAAUUCAAAAGUUGAAGGCAUUUUUGUUGCUUUUAGAAAAUUUUUCGAGAAACCUAAUCAAAACAUUCAAAGGAAGGAAUGGAGAGCAACAAUUAGGUGCCACUUUUGGGCCAAAAAAAGCAGCCAAUCAUGGUGGUGUGGGCUAGGUGUUGGCUAGGGUUGAGAGAGGAAGAAUGAGAAAAGAAAAGAUAAGGAGAAAUGGGGGAAGGAAAGAAAAAAAAAUUUGAGAAAGAAAAGGAACGAAGCAAUAUCAUUUUUAUUAUUUUUGUAUAUAUUUUUAAAUUUAUUAAUCAUUUUUAAUUUAAUUUUUAGAUGAUGACAUCAUUUUGAUGUCACUAAUGACAUAUGUCGUUGUCUAAUACCACCACAUGUUCGAGACUUAACGGUGUUAAUAAAAUGUACCAAACUAGUUGAUGGAGAAAAAGUUCGGGUACCAAUCUGGGAAAAAAACCUUAAGUACCAAUCUAGAAGAAGUGGACAAAUUCAAGUACCAAAUUUAUAUUUGACCCCUUAUUUAAAAUGAUACAUUUUUAAAAAAUAACAAACUUUUUAAUUAAUAAAUAAAUUCUCAUUUAAUUUGUAAUAUCCCAAAAAUCGGGUUAGAAGAAAUUGAGUUUUCAAACCAAAAAUGGUCAUCCCUCGAUUUGAGUUUAGACUUUAAAAAUUUUUUACUAGUAAAUUGAUCCGGUUCAGUGGUUAAGUGUUCUGGGUAUGUGUGUGAGGUUCUGGGUUUGAAUCCUGUUCCUAGAAAUUUUGUUAUUUUGCUUAAACCCUUACCUUUGAACGUUGGUUUAUAAGUUAAACUCAGUCAAUUAAUGUCAAGAAUGAGUCUGCUGGGUUCCAAAAACCCCUUCUUCUUCGAAUUUUAGUCAUUGAAAAACGAGACUGUCGACACCACAGGACUGUGUACCAGGCCGUGUGGUACAUCAUGUGGCAGGUUGUGUAACUUAUUGUUCGCAAAAAUUGGAGGCACACAAGCGUGUGCCUAGACUGUGUGUGUGGUUAAAUUGUACAGGAUUCGCACGGGCCAAUGACAUGAGCAUGUGUCUAGGCCGUGUAACUCACUAUUUGUGAAUUAAGACCGCACGGGCAAAUGACACAGGCGUGUGUCAAGCCAUGUGGGAUACACGGGCAUGUGCUAGACCGUGUAGAAUCACAAGGGCCAGUUCUCCAAGUCGUGUGAAACCACACAAGCGUGUGAAACAAUAUUUGGAAUUUUUCGUUCAGGCCACAAGCGUCGUUCGAAACGAAUUCAAGCCUACUGUAGUGUCCAUAUGAUUUAAAUUAGACUAUAUAACUUGAUAUCUGUUGAUUUGAUGAUGAACAACUUGGGAAUAGUACGUAUGUGUACUAUGUUGAACUUAAGUACGUAGGAACUGUCAGAACGUAGUGUGCUAUUGUAUAAUGUAUGCGAAUUAUCCAGGUGCAGUCUGUAUUCUGUUAAGUUUGCUGGUACGCCUCUGUGUUACUCUGUUGAUGAAGAAUAUGCAAUAUCUGAAUAUGUUAGGUUGAUUGUUACUAAUUCUGACUCAUAAUCGUACAUGUGACUUCAUGGAAAAUCUGAUAUGAUCUGUUGAGGUUUGAUAAAUCUGUCUUACAAAACAUGAAUUCUCAUGUUUACUGAUUCUUUUAUUGAAUGAUAGCAUGUCUUACAUGCUUAUCACUCCGAUUCUGUAUUUGCAUGCCAUGACACAUUAUAUGGGAUUUGGGUUAAUGUGAAAGGAUGAAGUUUCUGGCAGUUUAAUGAUCUGUAUUAUCUGAUGGGUAAUCCACAAUUUUAUAUUGGCAUCUCACCUGUCAUAUAAUGGUUUGACCACGUAUAUUUGGUCUGGUAGUUUCAACUGCAAAUAUUCUAGUGGCACUGUCCACAAGUAUCUAUUGGUGUGAUAGACUGGACAAGUUCUGGGGAAACUCUAUUUUGGUGUGUAGCAGAGUUGGGUAGGAUGUUUUCUAAUAAAUUUGCAUCUUGAUUUGUUUGAAAGAUACUGCAUCUGUGUAAACAUACAUGCUCUGCUCUACUCUAUUCUGUCCUGCUCUAUUCCAUUCCAUUACGUUAUGUUCUACUCUAUUCGGUUAUGAUCUGCUUGAUUUGUUUUGUUCUAUUUUGCUAUGUUCUGUUGUACUACCUUUGUUGAAAUCUUUGUGAUACUUGUAAUAGGCCAAUUUUGGCUUGGGCCCAAAUUACCAAAAUAAAACAAAAACCCAAACCAAUAAAUAAACAGUCCAAAAUUACAUGUCCAUUAUAGUCUAAGUUUUUACCGAAACCCUAGCCAAAUUCUAACCCUAGCCCAAAUUAGCCCAACACCUAAACCACAUAAGAAAACCUAGCCUCCCUACCCCUCUUUAGCCGCCACUCCUCCCACACACACCAGCCUCCUCACGCGCACCACCGCCACCGUACGCCAUCACCAUGCUCGUCUGACACCUGUAAAAAUUGAAUGCAACAACAGAAAAGGCAUGCUAACAAGCAGUAAAAACAAAUGCCAAAAGACAAAGAAUAGAAACAAAUGGUCUUGUAUCCGGCUAUAAAUUCCAAAACUCUAUCUUUGUAAUUUUUUACGCACACUAGUAAAUCAAAAAGCAGAACAGAAGUUUAAAAAAAGGUAUUGGUUUUGAUCUUUUCCUUGUUUCUUUUCGUUUUCUCGUUUCUUUUUAUUUUUUUACAAAUCCAUUUUAAUAAAAAAGGCAUAGAAUAAAAAGAAAAAGUCUAAAAAGGGCUACCUGAUGGUUGCGCUCCAACGUUGUGGAUGUUUGAGGUAGCCACCUCCGAUGAAAGGUGGCUGGAAGUCGAGGGGUACUUCGUUUGUCUAGGCAUUCUCGUUUGAUUAUUGGAAGUUUCGGGUUCAAAAUGGGCUUAGAAAGGUCGAAACGACCGAAAUGGCCUCUUUUUUUGGGCUCCGAUAUCCGUACACGGCGGUCACCGCCGUGUCAGCCGGCGACCAUGACAGACGGUGGCCUUAUUGGCCGGAGAAAAUGGAGGGGUUGAGAGAAUUUCAGUGGUUUUUUUUAGGAAGAAGAAAUGAAGUUUUUUUAAAAAAAUUUAUUUAAAUAAAGAAGCAAAACAGUGCCGUUUUGGGUUAGGGACUCAGGCCCGCUCAAGGGGGGAUCCGCGUGUUUUUGCCUUUUGGGUUAUUUACACCCCUGGCCCUUCUAUAUUUCUGUUCUUUUUAAUUUAGUCCCUUUGGUUUAUUUUUUAUUUUUUCUUUUUUUAAUUCAACCACAAGAUUUUGUUUGUUUUUCAAUCGGGUCCUCGGCCCACUGAUGCACUGGAAAAUAGACACAUGUCCAGGGAUUGGAUUUUUUUACCCAUUUGGCCCUCUGCCCUUUCGCGCCCUUUCAUUUUGGUCCUUAUUUGUUUAUUUUAUUAUAUUUUUUACCUUUAAUUUCAUUUUUGUCCUGAUUUAGUCCCAAAUCUAUUUGAUUUCAAUUUAUUUUCGCAAAAUUUUUAUUUGUUUAUUUUAAACCUUUUUCUCAUAUAUUAUUUAUUUUAAAUUGUUUUAUUAUUAUUUAUUUUAAGUUUUCCACAUAUCAUGUAUUUUAAACUAUUUCAAACUAUUAUCCAUUUUAAAUUUUUUAUAUAUUAUUUAUUUUUAAACUAUCAUAUAUAUUAUUUAUUUUGAAUUGUUUUUUUAUAUAUAUCAUUUAUUUUUUAACUGUUUUGUAUAUUAUUUAUUUUAAACUUUUUAUAUAUUAUUUUAAACUGUCUUAUAUGUUAUUUAUUUUAAAUUGCUUUGUAUAUUAUUUAUUUUAAUUUGUUUUACAUAUUAUUACUUUAAAUUGUUUUAUACUAUUUACUUCAAAUUGCUCUAUAUAUUAUUUUGUUUCGUUUUCUUUGAUUGUUAAUAUUGAUAUUAAAGUGACAUGUGUUGUGUGAUUAUUGUCAUUAUGUGUAUUAUAAUUCGUUUAUUAGUGUUUUCAUAUUAUUGUGAUUCAUUAGUGUAACAUUUAUUCGUAAAUUAUUACUCCAUGUUUUAUAUUAUUAUUCCAUCACAUUUCAUUAAAAUCACUUCAAAGGUCGCGUUUAAUUUUUUCCUUUAUCCAUAAUGGGCCAUUUUAUUAUAUUUCAACUAAAUAGCACGCAUCGUUUAGGUUUUGUAAUCGCUAUUAUUCAAAAAAAUAUUUUUAAAAAUAAGGCAAUGUUUCGUUUUUGAAAAUUCGAGAAGUCGUACCUUAACUUACAGGGUUUUGAUUUUUUCAUUAAAUCUAAACAACUAAACAUCCUUCUAAAUUUAAAAUACCUAAGUUUUGAAUAAAAAUUAAAGGCAAGCUUAUUCUCGAGGGUUCAAUUGUCGCAUCCUAACUUACGGGAUGUGGCAUAUUGUUAUCACGGGAUGAGUGAGCCUUUGAUGCUCGUUUCAAAUUAAUUCAAGCAUUUUUAAAAUUAACGUUAAUAAAAGGGAAGGAUUGUAUUUAAAAUUCUUUCAAAGUUUUCAAUUUUUGACAUUUAGACAUUAAUUAAUUAAUUAGGUGUCAAUUUUGGGCUUGACGAGGAUGCUAAUCCUUCCUCGCACGUAACCGACUCCCGAACCUGUUUUCUCGAAUUUUGUAGACUAAAAUCGUUGUUUUGAUAAAUCGAAAUAUUUUAUUAAAACAAUCAAAUUACAAGGUGACCCGAUCACACCUCAUAAAAAAAAGAUUGGUGACGAUUGUCAUUUUCAUUUUAAAUAUAAAGGUCGACCCAUACAAAAAAAUGGUUUCGACAAUACUCUAGAUCUGUUCCGUACUGUUUAUACAACUAUUAUUAAGUUCUUUGCGUUACUACGAUUUAUAUAUUACGCUCUGUUUAUUUAUAUUUGAGUUUGGUUCUACGCUAUGUUUGGUAACUUGCCCUUUGUCUUACCUUUAUUUGUUCAGGAAAACAUCUGGUUUAGGAUUGGACGACGUACAGGAGCUCAGAUUGUUUUACACUAAAAUAACUACGAUUUAAUCUUUUAGGUUUGUAAUAUGUUUUGGACUUGCCUUGUUUUUUUUUUAUAAUCCCAUUAGUAUUUCUGAUUUUCAAAGUUAAAACUCUGAAAAAGAAUCAGUUUUUAAUACGUUAGCGUAACCCUUUGAGAUUCGACUUGAACUUCUAAGUCGGGCUUGGGGUGUUACAUAAGUUUUAUAUGAAAGAUAUCUUUUUUUACAGGACUAUAAAUCAAAAUUUUAAUAAGCAUUUAAAUAAAUUAUUUUUAUUGACUUAAGUAUUAAAUAAGUCAAGUACUUUUUCCAAAAGAAAUAUCAAUUAAGUCUUUUUUUUUUUGCGAAAAAUGCACAUAAUUAAGUUCUUAGAUAUUAAAAAUCCAUCAAUUAAACUUUUUGACUAACAAUUUUCAUCAUUAAUUGUUACUUUAUUUAUGCCACUAAUAACAAUCUUUGAGUCAGCCAUUCAGCUAUUAAUGUUAGUCAAAAAUAAAAAAAAAUUUCAAAAGAAUAUAAAAAUUAUUGAAAAUAUUAAGUUCAUAAUGAAUUUAGAUAUAUGGACAUUCAAGUUUAUUUAAAUAUGGAUAUCCAUUUGUCUAGAUUCAUUUUGGAUGUAAUUUUUUUAAUUAUAAAAUUUAAAAAUGUAAAAAGAAAUUGUCGAAACCAUUUUUUUGGAAAAAUGGGAAUCGACUUAGAUUUUGAAAAUAAAAAUGAAUAGAGGAGUCGCCACCAAUCCUUUUUUGAUGAGGUGUGAUCGGGUCACCUCGAAAAGUGGUUGUUUUUAAUAAACAAUUUAAUUUUUAUUAAAACAACGAUUUUGGUCUGCGAAAUUCAGAAAAACGGGUUCGGGAGUCGGUUACGCACGAGGAAGGGUUAGCACCCUCGAUACGCCCAAAAUUGGUACCUAGUUGAUUACUUAAUGUCUUGGUGUCGAAAAUAAAAAACUCGAAAAGAAUUUAAAAAUACGAUCCUUAAAAGAAACUCUGAUAACGUGAAUUGAAAUAUAAGACUCUCUUGUUCCGAAUGAAUAUCACAUCCAGCACGUUAGGACACGAUACUCUAAACCAUCGAAACCAAGAUCACCUUAUAGUUUAAUGAAACCAUACUUUGAAGCUUUAAGAGGAUAUUUGGCUAUUUAGUCAAACGAGAAAUCGAAACCCAGCACGUUAGGGCACGUUUUCCCGAGUUUCCAAACGCGAAAUAUUGCCUUAUUUAGAAAAAUUUUCCUUUUGGUGUUUAGUGUCAAUGCUUGGCAAAACAAUAACGAAUACGACAAGGUGAGCAAAGUAAAGUGAGUAACAACAAUACAAUAGGCAAAAUGAAAUGACGAGGCGAUUACAUAAACAAAGCAUACAAAUAAAUAAAUAGAACUAACAUUUAAAAAAAAGCAUAAGUGUACACGAAUAAAUAAACAAACACCAAAUAACAAUGAUGGCAAUAAAUACAAUUAUGUAAAAAUGUAUAUGCAUAUAUAAUUUAAAGCCAUAAAACAAGAAAUGCAUAUAAAUUAUAGAAUAUGAAACAUAGAUAAAUAUAUACACAUAUAAAAAAUCGGUAAGUAUUAUAAAAAUAAAAAUGUAAAUGUGUUUAUAUAUUUACAAAUCGUGAUAAUAUAAAAUAUAUGUAUGUGAGUUAUAAAAUAUGUGAAAUAUACAAAAAGCAUUUUUAAGAAUAUAAAGAAUAUAUAUAUAUAAGUAUGUAUAUGAUGUAAAAUGUGCAUAAAUAUAUGUAAGUAUAUAAGAAUUAUGAAAUAUGGAAAAUAUAUUUAAGUAUGUAUAAGUAUGUAUAUAUACAUAUAUGUGUAAAAAAAUAUAAUAAAAAAGGGGUAUAUAUAUAUGCGUAAUAUAUAUAAAUACAUAUAUAAUAUAAUGUUAAAAUAUUCACAUAAUAUACAUAAUAAUAAUGUUGAAAACAUCUAUUAAUAAUAAAUAUAUACUUAUAUGUAUUAAAGAUAUAUUCAUAAAUACAAAAACAUAUACUAAUAAUCACAAUAGUAAAGAUAAAAAAUGUAUACGUGACAUAAUGCAAAAAUAUAUAAAUGUUAUGACAUCUAAAAACAUAUACAUAAAAAUGAAAGAGAUAUAUGACGAAUAAUGCAAAGAUAUUUGUAUGAAAUAAUGGGAAAUAUACGAAUAGCACGAUAUUUACAAGUGUACACUUAAUAUAAUUAUUUAAAAAAAAUGAUAUAAAUAAAUGAAUACAUGAAAAUAAUACCAUAUACACAAAAAUACCUAUAUAUAUAUACGUAAUGAAAUAUGUGAACAAAUAUUAAUAUUAAAGAAUAUAUAAUAUAUGUAUAUAAUAGUAGAAACGAAACGAAAAAUAUAUAUAUAGUUAAAUAUAAUACAAUAAUAAUAAAACAACAAUGAUAAUAAUAUUAAAUAUAUAACAAUUAAUAUUUAAAAUUGAAUUAAACAGCAAAAUAUUAUGAAAUUUAAGGUAAAAAAAAAUAGAUGAAAAAGGGAUGAGAUUGGAUUAAAACCAAAUCUUUGGGGCAAAUUUUAAAAGAAAUUAAAGGAGAAUGGACUUAUUAGAACGCGCGUUAAACUAUGGGGGAUCAAAUAAGUAAUUUAUCCAAACACUUGAAACGACACCGUUGGAAGGGGGACUAAAUCGCAAAGUGUGAUGGAUUUCAGGGUCAAUUUAUAAACAACGAAUAACUUGAUUGCGAAAUAUAAAAAUGCGGAAGGGCCAAUUGCGCAAAUAGCCCUUCCACUUGAAAACACGCGGAUCCUGCCUUGGUGCGGGUCGGGUCGACCCGACCCACGUCCGAAACGACGUCGUUUUAUCAUUAAACAGGGGGACCAAAACGGUGCGUUUUGGUCCCCUAUAAAAGCUAAGUUUUUUUGAAAAAAUUCAUUUGAGACCAGGUGAGGGAAAAAAAAAAAAGAAAGAGGGAGAGGGAGGGCACGGAGCGAUUUCCGGCCAGGGGAGGUACGUCGGUCCGAUCGCCGGCGCCGGCCGCCGUACACGGCGGUCGGAGAGGUAAAAUUUUCAAAAUUUUUAUUUUAUUUUUUUUUAUAUUUGUAUAUAUUUUUAUGUUAAAUAGAUAGAAAAUAAAGAAAUAUAUAUAUGUAUGUAAAAAUCGAAAGGAACAAAGAAAAAAAAUACAACCUUUUGUUUUUUGUUUUUAACAAUCACUGCUAUCUGUUUAUUGAAGACUGUAAAUUUCUCUUUAGUGUUUACAAAGUAGAAAAGAAGAAGAAGGAAAAAAAAAAGAAGCCCUCUCUUUACAAAAUAGUUUCGGUGGCUUAAUAUAGCCUUCUACAACUUUCUAUUAUUUCUUUGUUUUCUGUCUUUUCUUCUUUAUUUUUGCAGAUGCAAGUGGCAUGGGAGAGGUGAUGGGAUGGUGGCAGAAAGCAGGUGAACGGCGGGGUUGGUGGCGGUGGCAGAGGGUAGGUGAUGGGGGUUAGGUUUUUUUUUUGAAAGUGUUUGGGUUAUUGGGCUAGUAGUUGGGCUUUGAGUCUGUUUUGGGUCUUGGGUUUGGGCUGAAAUUGGGUAAGUUAAUUGGUUUUGUGUUUUGUUUUUUUUUUUUUGCUUGGGCUAGAGGUUAAUUGGGCCCGGGCAUGAAAAUUGGGCUUGUACAGCUGCCCCUCUUUGCUCGUUGUCGUGUAACGAGAACAGAGCAAAGAUUAAGAAAGACCAAUUUUUGCCCGGUCUCGCCGAGUCUUGACCCCUCUUGACGCUUUUCUUCAAGUAGUUUCAUUCCAAUCCAAUGUGUCAUGCUGCUUCAAUCCACUCCACUGCAACUUCAGAGAGAUAUGACUUGUAACUUCAAUCCAUUCUGUUGUAACUUCAGGGGGUAAGGUCCAUCAUUCUGACCCGCUUCACUGCAACUUCAGGGAGAUCGGA
rnacentral:lncRNA from 1 species